GAAAAUGGGUGAGGAUCACAGUGCCAAAGCUUGCAGCCUAAGGUUAUCAACAUUGAUGAAGAGGCUGCUGGUAAUUCUUCCGGUGAAGAUAUUAACGCCACGAAAGCUUAAAUGUAAUUGAUUAAAGGAAGAAGUGCUUGCUUUGCUUGAUGUGCUAUUCGUUUAUGAUCUUUUCCUGGUUUUGUUGUGAGAUGUUUCUCUUUGGAUUUUCUGUUUAUUGUACUUUGAUGGGUUUUUGAGGAUGACUUGUAUGUAUUAACAACAAUAAAGUGCUUUUCAUAAAUCCCUAGUCCUACUGCACUAAAAGAAAUUAAUACACUUGGUUUAUUGUUAAUAAUAUAUAUAUAUAUAAGCGGACGCUGUAUAACAAUAUAAAUAAUUUUAAAAUAUUAAACAUUUAAAAUAGUCAGCAUAUUAACAAUUUACAAUUUAGAUUAUAUGUAGACGAAAUAAUGGUAACAACAAUAAAGUACGUGUUAUAAAUCCUGGUCCUACAGUAGUAAAAGAAUUAAUGAUGUGUUAAUAAGAAGAUUCAUUCCAAUUAUAACAGUUUUUGAUGAAUCGAAAUAUUCAAUAACUGAUAAAUUGUAUUUAUAAAUAUUAAUAGCAAUGGCACGGAAACUAUUAAGUUAAAUUAAACAAUUUUGUAAUACAGUCCAGUCCUCGUGUGUUAAUAUUGUUACUAAUGAGGCAGCUAGUAAUCCCUUUGGUGUAAAUAAUUAACUUUCAUAUGCACAAUGUUUAAAAUAAUCACCACACAACAAUUCACAAGUUACAUUACACAUAGACGAAAUAAUACUAAUCAAAUUCAAUCAUAAUAAUUUGAUUUUCAUUUAUAUUAAUUAUUUCCAAUCAUGCUAUUUUUAAAAAAGAACACUCCAGCGUUUAUAUAUCCAACAGGUAAAAUUUCAAAAUAAUAUUUGUCAAAGUCUGAUGAAGAGAAUAUACACUCGCACAUAUAUAAUUAUAACCGUACAGCAGAAGGAUAAAUAAAAGAAAAUGAAGUUUCAACAGCUAAAUAAUGCAUUUUAUUGUUUAAUUAAACCCAUUGGCCUUAUAUACAUGAUAAAGACUCACCAAAAACCAAUUUACGAUCCAUUUCAACGCCUAAUUUGAAAAAAGAAAAAUAAUAAUAAUAAUAAAAUAUUCCAAUCGUCCAUCCUUUCACAAAUCAAAAAUAUCACCAAAAACCAAUUUCCAAUCUAUUUCAAAACAAUUUUUGCCAAAGUCCUCCUCAGCUAAUUAAUUCAUACAUUAAUACAGUCCUCCUCUGCUGAAUAAUGCAAACCCGUUACGUUAUUCUACCAUUUCUUAAAUUUAAAGCAUUCCACCAUUUAAUAAAAAAAAUUCGAAAACCCAUUAUAUUCAAUACAAAAAGCCCACCGACACCAAACCAUAUUAAUUUAAAAUAGUUUUCAAUUGAGAUUUUAAUUUUAAAAUUACAUACACAAACACACCCGAUUUAAAAAAAUAAUAAUAAUAAUGCUAACAAUAAAAUAUUUCAGUCGUGCUCUGUUGAGUCGUCAUCAAAAACCCAUUUAAAAUUUAUUCGAACAAAAGGUAUAUGGGUUAACAAGUCCCAAUAUUGUCCUCCAUCCUUUCUGCACUUCUCUUCCAUCAACGGACAGCGAUAGAUGUCUAAUUGCAAAAGUGAGGAAGGCAGGCCCUUCUCCGGAAAGUAUUUGAGCUUGGGACAAUCAUAGAGAUACAAUGAAGUGAGGUUUUGAAGAUCAACAAUUGAAGAAGAUAGGCGUUCCAGAUUUGGAAAAUCUACAAUCCUCAGAGAUGUUAGAGAGGCAGGAAGAGGAAGCGCGGUCCCUAAUCUUUUGUCCUCUAGUGGAAAUGACACCAUGUCGUCAUCACAUCCUUGGAUUAUGAGUUCUCGCAGAGAGGAGAAUCUGUGAAAUCCCCGUCCCCGCUCAAUCAUUGACUUCCAAAUCUCCAUAUUACCCCAAAUACGAAGUGACUGAAGGUUGGUGGGAAGGCCAUCUUCUUCAAGGCUUGGAAACUCACCUCCUAUUAUUGCUAAGUGUUGAAGAGAGGUCAGAUUGUGCAAUCCCUUGGGUAAGGCCUCUAGUCUCUCACAAUGACAUAUCACCAGCGUCGUGAGUUUCGCACAAGGCAAUCCCCCUUCGGGAAAGGACACCAGAUUUGCACAACUCUGUAUAGUAAUCCCUCGAAGCUGCCGGAGAUUAUGUAAACCACUCGGUAAAAUUUUGAGAUUUUCACAAUUAUAAAUACUGAUUGUUUCAAGGGAUGUGUUGUUGUCCAACCUUUCUGCUAUUGACUCCAGCUUUGGACAAUCCCAAACAAAAAGGGACUUAAGAGACGGAGGUAGAUUGCCAACUUCAAGGGACUCAAGCGUGGCAGGUAACUCGUUUUUUGAAAAUAUACAUGUCAGUGAUGGACAAUUCUCAAUGUGUAAGUGCUCGAGAAGAGAUGAGGUGUACCUUCUGCCGCUGCUACACUGGAUGCCCUCUUCCACUGUCAAAGUCCUUAUAUUAUCGCAACGGUGGAUCUGCAACUUCUUAAGGCUCGAUGGUAGCUGGACCGCAGCAAUAUAUGUCAACGAACGGCAACCCUCAAUAUACAAGAUCUCGAGAGACGAAUUGGUGUCGCACAUCCAUUCCUCUGGUAACGAUUUCAGUGCAUCACAAGAACUAAUCCGAAUUUUCUUCAACUUGGAAGGCAGAGCAACCUCAGGAAAGGAAACAAGGGAACUGCACUUGCAGAUUUCUAUCUCUCUCAAGGAACAGAGGCUGAGCGAUGAUUGUGGUAGCUUCACAAGGCCUUCGCAAUUACUCAAUCUUAGAUAUUCAAGUCUGCAUGACAACUCGCAGAGCUGCUGUUGUUGGUCUUUCUCUUCCUCCUCCACCAAGGAUUGAAGUUUGGGACAGCUGUCAAUCGUCAGUCUUUUGAGAGAGCAAAUGUCUUGCAGCAAUUCGUUAUGACUCUUCCAUAUAUCUGUUUCAUUUUUAAUAUUAUUUAUCUCCAAUUCUUCCAGUUUUGGUAUUCGCGGCUUCAAUGGCCUUGCGAGAAACACUUGAUUUGAUGUAUCUCUACAAACCACUGAAUUCUGUGAGCCGAGAUGAUCAGUUGCACUUCUCCCCACAACCUUUUUACAUCCACUUACCAAUUUGCAAAGAGCUGGAAGACUCGUAAUUGAAAUUGACAAUUCUUCGCAUUCUCGAAUAACAAGCAUCUGCAAUGCAGGAAGGUGCUUUGGAAAUGCUCCUUGCAGUUUAGAACAUCUUAAAAUGUGAAGCUCUCUCAAUUUAGGAAACUCUUCAACUCCCUGACUGGAUCCAUGAGGAAUCCAGUCUUCCCAUUCUUGCAUGUUUUCAAAACAAAGAGUCUCCAAGCAUGGAAAUGGAAUUGGAGAGUCAUCCCCAUAGAACUCUGAACCCAAUCUCUUUACUCUACUCAUUCCACGCACUGUAAGAUGCUUUAGAGAGGGCAGUUGCCCGACUGACGGCAGGGCAGUACACAUGCCGCAAUCUUCAAAUUUAAGUGUUACUAAAUUUGAGAAUGAUGAAUCUCCUAACCAUGUUGGAAAUUUUGUACCUUCAUAGCCACAGACACCAAAUUGUUCCAGAUUUUUAUGGGGUUUGAGCAUGUCAAGCACACCCAUUUCAGUUUCUGCCUCCCUUGAAGAUGAACCAUCGGUACUGCGUGUCCAUCGAAGCAAUAAUUCUCUAAGAUUCUCCUUUACAUCCAACCGAGCCUCCUUUGCAUCACCAAUGUCUUUUACAUUCUCUAAUUUUGAAAUUUCAAGUGCCCCACGAAGAUGCAUCAACAACUUUAGCUCUGAUAACCCCGAACCACUGUCUUUUCCCACAACAAAAUUACACAACGUCUGAAGACAAGUCAACUUGCCAAUUCCUACUGGCAUUUCCUCCAACGAAUCUGUAUUUGAAUUAUUGAGAUGAUGCAAUUUGAUGAGGUUUCCCAUGGCUGCACACAACUUCUUCAGUAGCUGACAAUAUUCCAACAAAAGCGUGUGUAAAUUGUAAAGAUUGCUCACUGAUUCAGGCAGAGUUCUAAUCUCAGUUCCAGACAGGUUAAGGUACCUUAAAUACCUCAAAUCACCAAUUGAAUCCGGUAGCUCGGAGAUGUAAUAUCCACGCAAAGAGAAGACCCUUAAGCUUUGGAGUUUGAACAACUUAGGAAGAAUGCUAUAAGCCAAGAAUCCACGCGAACUAUUUGACAACAUUAGUGGUAAAAAAGUUCGCAAAUGUUGGAUAUCAUACAAUUUCUCAAACCUUUUAACGCCGUCAUAUUCUCCACAAAUAUAUGAUAGAUGACGAAGAUUUCUUGAAAAACUUUGCUGCUUGUUAACCUCUGAGAUAUACUCCAUUCUGAAGUACAUUUCCCCAGCAGCCCAUUGAGCAAGGUCGUUGACGAGGUCAUGCAUCACAAAUCGUGAUCUACUGCUGCUUGAUUGCUGGAAAAAAGAUCUUGCACGUAGCUCUUGAAAGAACUUUCGACCUAGAUCUUCACUAGGAUUCCCGCUCUCUCCGUGAUCCAAGAAACCCGAAGCACACCAUAAUAAAAUUAUCUCCUCCUCUUCAAAUUCGUAAUCCUUUGGUAACAAUGAGCAGUAUGCAAAGCAUUGUUUCAAAGUUGGAGGAAGAUAAUAAUAGCUCACUGCAAGGGCUGGUAUAAUGCGACAUCUCUCUUGUGGUAAUUCCCAUAUCUUGCUACUGAGCACAUCUUCCCACUCACGUCUGUCAUGUUUUCCACGUAAAAGUCCUCCUAGUGUUUUUGCUGCCAAGGGCAAGCCAUUGCAUUUGAUCACUAUCUUCUUGCCAAUGUCCUCCAAUGACUUAUGAGAACUGAAAUCUCUCGUUCCCAAAGAGUGCUGAGCAAACACAGACAGACAAUCCUCAGUUGACAAGUUUUUCAAUUCAUAAGCUUGAUCCGGGCUCAUGAUUUUUGCAACCUCUUGAUUGCGAGUAGUGACAACAAUCUUACUUCCCUGUGCGCCAGCUUCAAAUGGAAGGCUGAGGUCUACCCAAUCAUUGUAAUCCUCAUUCCACACGUCGUCCAAAACUAGCAAAAACUUCUUUCCAAACAGGUGUUUCUUCAAUUUCUCUUGAAGCAAAUUUAAGUCCUGAUUAUCCACAUUCUGGUCAGCAGCAAUGGAAAUUAGGAUUGAUUUUGUAAGCCUGAAAACAUCAAAAUCAUCAGAGACGCAAGUCCAUGCCUUGAGAUCAAAAUGAUCCUCCACCUGCUUAUCAUUAUAGACAAGCUGAGCAAGAGUGGUUUUACCCAGCCCGCCCAUACCUAUAAUAGGAAUAACAGAGAAUCCACCAUCAUUUCUUGAAUCAUCCUUCAACAACAAUUCAACAAUUUCCUUCUUUUCUGUUUCCCUGCCAGAGACCUUGGCUUCAUUCACCAAAGAGGUUGUGGGUAGUCUUUGCCUGUCUUUUUUGGACCUCCCAGCUGAACUUACGUUCAAACCCAGCGAGUCUUUCUGUGUUACAAUAUCUUGAAAUCUGUCGUUGAUCUCAUUGAUUUUGGACAUUAUGGCGUAAUCGAACUGAAUCGAUUGUGGAGUAAAAGUGGUGCAGCAAGUAGGAAUGAGCUUCCGAAACUUACUUGUUCUUGUACGACUGCUACUGGGUUGAUCCUGAGCAGCAGCUGGAUCUCCAUUUCCAAGCAGCAACUUCCUCCGGAAAGCCUCAGUUUGAAACUCAUCCAACAAGUCUUCAACAUCAUAAGCCAAGUUCUGAAGCUUGCCAAGCCACUUCUUCACAAACUGAUUAGUCGUCUUCUUCUCCUCAGCAUCCUCAAGCACCGCCUUGAUCAUCUCCAGCAUAUUCGCCCACUUCAUCAGAUCGGCCUUGAUUUGCUCUUGGCGUGCAAAAAACAGAAUCCCCUCUGAAGCUAACUUAUUGACCAGCAAAUCAACGGACGCCGUAAGGAUUGCCUCUCCGAUGAUUGACAUUUUUUUUUUCUUUCUUCUCUCUUUUUUUUUUUUUUUGGGGGGGGGCAAAGAAAGAAGCAGAAUUUUGAGUUUUGAGAAGCAAAAUGAGAAAAUUGAACAGAAAGUGUGAAGGGUCAAGCAAAAUGCAGGUAACAAGUCUUCCACUUGUUGUUUAUUCCAGGAAAGGGAACAUAAAAACAGAGCCCACCACCCAUUAAUAAUUUAGCAAUUUACCAAUCACCAACCACCACCACUUGUUACCAGAUUCAAUAAAUAUAAAAUCGCACGUUGAUAUUUGUAGGGCCAAGCAACAUUAAUCCAAUGUCCGGGUAAAUGCUGAAUAAAGAGGGAGGUGGAAUGUAUCUGCUACGAACCUACGCUUUACAAGUCUUCAAAAUCAUAAUAAACCAAGUUAAAUCAAAACAUUUCUCUCUCUGUGUCUCUCUUAUAUAAUUACUUUAUUUAUUGAAUUAAUUUUCAUGCUAAGACGAAGACUUAAAUGUACAAUACAAUGUUUUAUAAUUACAAUGGUAAUUUCAACUAUCAUGUUAUAUUAAUAUCGUGUUAAAAUAAAUUAUAAUAAAAUAAAACAAAAAUUCUAAUGUGAAAACAAAAACUGUCCCACCACCAAUAAUUUAGCAAAGCUUCACUUUAUUACACUAAAGUGAAAACAAAAUCGGCCCCCACCACCAUCAAUAAAUUAGUACAUCCAUCUAAAUGGAAGUAGAAAUUGGAACUCACUUUAUGGCUCGUAUGCAAUACAGGUAUCAACAUUUAAUUAGAGUUCACACACAAACGUGUGUGUGUCUAGUUUUAAUUGAGAGAUAAAUUAAACAUAAAUACUUAGAUGUUUCUAAAUGAUUGACUAAUGAUAUUAUUGGUAUUUAUAAAUUUCUAAGAUGUGAUAAUUAUGUGGGGGACAUAUAUUUAUGGUUAUAGAAAAUGGCGGUAAAAGUGGUACAAAUAUAAUAUAAUAAAAAAAUAUAAACUGCAGUAAAUUAAUAUUUACUUCAAAGUACGUUAUAAAUAUCGCUUUCCUUAAUACGUUAUUUGCUCCCACCGAUUGAGUUAUGCAUAUGGAUUAAGCAAAUAUGCAUUUAGGAUACAAUAAAGCAUUGAUUUGUUUGUUUAUGUUAUAUAUCAAUGAAAGCAAACAUGAAUAUUCUUGAAUGUUAUAAGCCUAACGAGAAUUAAUAUAUUAUUCUUACAAAAAAAAUAAUAUGUUGGAUACUUGAUGCACAAAAAAUAAAUGUUAAUUGAUGAAAUUCUUUUGAAGAAAGAGGACUAGAAAAAAAAAAUGGUGUAGGAUCAUUUUAUUCAUGUCUAAUUGACAUUUAUUUUUUUAUGAAUGUGAAGGCAUUUUGGUAAUUUUAUGGUCACAAGAGUUGUAUGUUGUGGAUAGUUAUUCGUUUUGAACUACAUUGUGUGCAGUUAGUCGUAUUUCACAUUUAUAAAAAGUAACUAUGUCGUUUCCUUGGUUUGGAGAAAACCAAGCUGUGAAUAUGAACGAUAGUCAAGUUUAAGCAUUGUCAGUAUGAGUGAAAUAUGCAAACUCAUUUUCAUAUUUUAUUAUGAUUUUAGAGUGUAGUAAACCAUAUUUGUAAAAUAAGAUUUUAAUGCUCUAAUUUAAUGAUUUCUAGAAUAAAUUUGAUUUACGUAUUGGCACAUUAUUAAAAUUUUAUGAAUAUUGGUUUUCCCUAUCGAUUUUGAGUAAAGUAUAAUAGUAUUUUGAAGAAAAUAAAAGUAAAUUUAAAGUAUGUUAAUGGAAUGAAAAGAAGACUUAAUGUACGAUUAAAAAUGUGUUAUUUAUGUGUAUAAAAAUUUGUUAUUAAAAAUUAUGAGACAAAUCCCUCUCCCUCUGGUUAGAUACAGCUCAGAUGAGAGCCUUUUGGGGCCCCUCUGAAUACAUAGAGAGGUUAAUAGGCUGUGUUUUUUAGCGCUUUUGCCUUUUGGAGGCCCAUGCAUGUUACAUAUAAGAUAGAGGCCUUUGGGUCUAUCUGAGUGCACAUAGAAGCUUUGGAUCGUGUGCUUGGGUGCUUUUGUCCUUUAAGGACUAUUUUAUGUAUGCAGUAUGAUGAGAUAUGAUGAUAUAUAUGAGAUAGCACUUCAUUGAUCUAUCCUUUGUAGCUCCAGGCAUGACAGUGCUCGGAUAAUAUGUCAUUACACUACCCAUAUGAGGUCUAGGUACGACAAGAUCAUUUACUUGUUUAGUGACAGUUUAAGAAUCAAGUAUUCUAUGUUAUCUUUUGAUACGAUUUUCAUGUGUAUUUCGUACAAUAUAAUGUAUUCUUCAAUGACAAUUGUUCAAUUUAAAGUUUGAAUAAUUUAACAAUGUUCUUACUUAUAGAUUAGUAAAAUUGGUAUGUCGAAAAGAUAUGAUCAUCUUUAAAGGAAGUUACUUUCAAAAGAUGUUAUCCACUCACUGAGCUUACUAAUUUUUAUAUUCACCUUAUUUUAUUAUAUUUUUCCCUUGUAAAAGGAUGCAGAUACACCAAUUGAACGACCAACUGUAGUUAUUUUGAAUUUUUGGUCACGUGAUGGCGCUAGGAGAAAUAGAUGGUAUUAUGUAUUUUGAUCAUCUCAUUUUGAAAUGUAUAAUUGUAUUAUGAUUCGAUGAUUAUGGAUGUUUAAUGUAUAUUGAAAUCAGUUAUAUUAUAAUCUUUUCAUAUUGGAGAUGUUUGGGUGUUAUUUGGUAUUUAGUUGAGAAGGUUGAUUGAUGGAACUGAUUAUAUAUUAAAGUAUAUUAGGAGUGCUUGUAUAAAUUUUCAAUUUUGGGAUUGUUAUAUUUAUAAGGGAAAUAAUUGUCGAAUUUUCGGUAGAAUCGUUACUAAUUAAAUUAUUAUCAGUCAAGUUAGACGAUAUCAGAUAGACCUGCAUGGAGUUCAAGGCGAGUCGUUUCAAAUCAAGUCCUUUAUAAACCUCACUCACCCCUUGUUAGCUCUCCCUCGUUACAAGCAUCUAUCUAUCAAUAUAUCAAUCAAUGCUUACAUUUUCUUUCCUCUUAUACACCAAAAUGAAGUUCAUCUUGGCAAUAUUGCUGUGGCAUUAUUAUUGUCAAUAGUAUAGAACGUUUACAAUUAUCAUCUUCCGGUUGACCAAACCUCUAGCGACGUUCCAUUCGGAGCCAACUGUGUGGCCUCAGUCAGCCCGAAACUCUCUUUAAAACCCGAUGCUGAAAUUAAACCAAAAUGAAAUCCUCGGCGCAGCAAUAACUGUACUGAAGGAACGGGAUAUUCAAAUCUACGCGCAAAAGCAAGUGAUUAAUAAUUAAAAAAUAAAAAACAGCCUGCCGUUUUGAAAGUGUUAACUUUAUUGGAAAUGCAAGGAAUCAUUUAUUGGAAUGAACACCCGUUUGGACGGUAGUGAUUAGAGUCUGUGCUGUCACAUGCUUGUGUUUGCCUUUUAAAAUACGACAAAGAAUAAAAAAAAUGGAACGAAGAAAAGAAUCCGUUGCACUAUCGAAGCAGGAGAUUUGCCCAUGCGUCCUCAUCAGCAUCAAUGAACUUUUCGAUGUGUGAGGUGUGAACGCGUAGAUUUAUGACGAGGGUUGGUUGCCUGCACACGAAUCUAUCUUGUGGUCGCAAUCACGUGGAAGGUCCGAAAGGAAAAGCGAGGGCUUCGGCCUUCGGUCUAAUCGAAUGCGCUCGGCUUGAAAUUUUGGGAAGAAAAGGCCGAUUGUUGAAGAGCUCAACAACUAAAAAGCCGAGUAUAUGAACAGAGCGUGCUCAUGACUUCCAUUGGUGAAUACAUUAAAGUUGUAGAAGCUUGCGACAAAGCAAUUGGGCCAGCUAAGGCUGGCGAUUUUGCCGUCGCGAAAACGGCAGCUGAUGAAGCCGACCUGAGCGUUUCUCGCGCUAACGCAUACAAAAUCGAACCCGAACCUGAAACAUGUGACUUUGAACUUGAAAAUUGCUUCUAAAAAUGCAGUGACCAUAGCCAUCAAGGCUCUUAGUAAUCCUAGUGCUCAAAGCGAAAAUUGAAACAAGGAGAGCACAAUUAUUUAAUUUAAUUAAUGAUGAUUUCAUAUUUCUUUCAUCAUCGAUUUGUCUUUUUUAUCUUUUCUUUUUUUGAAUUUCUUCAUUUAGAUAUGCAAACCAAUGAUAUUCUUUUUGAUGAUAUUGUUGGAGUGAAUAAUAGUGAUAAUGUGUGCUCUUUGAAGCAGCUUUCUGCUUAUGUUGUAAUGAAUAAUUUUUUAAUUGGUUGGUUGAAUUAUUCGGUGCUUUUAUUUAUUUAAUUACGUGAUGAUCGUGCAUGACUAAUUUAAGUGGAUUCACAGAACUAAAAAAAUCAAAUAAUGAUGGAAAUCAAAACGAUUAAUUGAUUGUCUUCAUGUGUGUUAAUCAAUUAAUGCAAAGAUUAAUUGCCAAUUAAUCAAUACAUAAAUAUUUGUUGACUUAAUUUUUGUCAAUCAAUCAAAUUUUCUAAUCACAAUUGUAUCAUUUCUGUUUACUAUUUUAUCAUUCUGCAACAACUUUCUCUCACAAGGUAAUAGAUUGUAGUAUUUCAUACCAAAUUAAAACUUGUCCAUGUUACCGAUAAAAAUCAUGGUAGCAUUAUUAAAGAGCUUUUUCUUUUCUUUUUCUCCCCCUUUUUCUAUUUUGUCCUUUGUUUGAUUGGGCGUAAUGAAACAGAUAUAUCAAGGGACCAAGCAUGACCUAUAUAUAUAUAUGUGUAUCUUCAUCAACAAACAAAGAAAUAAGGGAUUGAAUUUGAUGUGUCAUAGCACAAUAAGUGAAAUUUGGACAGCCAAGACAAAUAUAGAACCAUCUAAUCCACGAAAGGAUAGACAUGGGACUUGACAUGAAAAUAAAUACAAAAACAAACACAAACAUUUACUCCUCCAAUGAUUGUUUCAAUAUCUUUACCCUUGAUAUUUGCUACAUUUUAUAAAAUAUAAAUCUGCUGGUAAAUUUUUUGUACCUUAAACAGUUUUCUGACUUAUGAGAAAAAAAACUAUUUUAAAAAAAAUAUUGCAGAGAAAAAUAAAAAAGAAAAAACUGCUAAAGAGACAAAAUAAUGGUAGAAUGCUGACAAAAAUAAUGUUAAAAUCAACUAGAUCACAUAAAAUUUGAUUACCUUCACUACUAUAAGAUUUAUUUGAUUAAUACAAAUUAAUUCAAAUCUGAUAUGUUAAGUAGAGAAUAACAAUGUUUUAGAUCAUUGUUUAUUUACAGUACAUGGAUAAACUGGGUAAUUAGUUAAAGAGCCGUAGACUAAAAAUGGAUUUAUGCAUUUAUCUUAUCUCCACAUUAUAUGUUGAUGCUUUCAUUUGUACUCGUUCUUUAGUUUCUUCUCAAUGCAAAUGCCAGGAUAGGUGGAACAACAUUUCCAAUGUGCUAUGCUUGUGUUGGAUGUUAUCAACAAUCUUGUAGCCAUCCGAAAAACCCUACGUGACAGGAAGUAAGAUUAAUUCAAAAGUAUAAUCACAAGUGAUGCAAAUAGUAACGAAAUCUAAACAGUUAAGAAGUUUUACAGUCAAACUUCUAAGAAUGGAGAUUUGUUCAUUGGUUUUAAAAUUUAUUUUGCAUAUUCUAAUUUUUCAUUUAAAUAAUUGCAUGAAUUUGGAUCCAGUGUUGAUCACAAUCUUGUAAGAAGAUACCCACAAAUCUUAGCUCAGCACUAAAUCCAAAUCUCAAUUGCAAAUAUCAAAAUAGCAAUAAGACGUACUCGAGAUCAAUCGCACAUUCACGAGCUUUCACCGAUUGUAUCUCUAACUGUUAUUGCACGGAAAGGAGCGCCAUUUGGUAACUUGGCCUUAAGCUCAGGACCGGCAAAGACGUGCAUUGGUUCUGGCCAUUCCGGCAUUGUUUCCUCAGGUGAAGCUGCCCAUACGAAUGCUUGUUUACGACAUGGAAACAGAUCGUAUGCUGCUGCUUCCAAUGCAUCGGGCAUCUUGAUAGGCACCCCUCUGUUAAGAAAUUGAUUCAGGCUUUUUGUACCACCCCACAACUUACUAUUUAUUCAAACAUAUUUACUUUAAAAGUCAGGGCAUCUUGAUAGGCACACCUCUGUUAAGUUAAAUGAAUAUCGGUGGGUGAGGUUUAUAAUAAUAGACAGCAACAACAUACCACAACUUCUUUAUGGACAUGCAAUCCAUCGGUCGUAGCAGAACUAGCUGACAGCGCCUGCGGGGCACGUGCAAUUAUAUUUUGAUCAGUGUUCACGAAGCUAAAGCAGUGUAAAUAACAGAUUAUGGCUUAAUUAAGUAAUUACCUGAAGGUGAUUAAAUAAUUGAGAAUGAAAUUAUAUUAUUAAGCAAAGACAUAAUUACCCCAUUUAUCUGUUUGAAAUCCCGUCUUGAGAGCAAAUGGCGGCACUGACGAGGCUUGCUCAAUUUCGGCCUGCAUGGCUGCAUGUCUGAUAAAGGUGGAAACAUAGUGCCUUUAGCUUAAUCGUAGAAUGUUAAAUCUGAUGCCGCUGAAUAUGGAGGGUGAUUCAUAUACAAGCUCUUUAUGAAUAUAUAGUUGUUAAUUAUAGGAGAAGUUGCAAUAUGAAGUUAAUUUGAAAUUUAUAUUUCUCACCUCGAAUAAUUUCUGGUAAAUUGCUGAUUCGAUAAAGUCAAACUUUCUUUAUGAUCAUCAUCUUCUUCUUGGUCUUCGCCUUCCGAUGUUCCCAUUUCUGAUGUUUCUCCACAUUUUCUUCCUCUUUUAACAACUUUCGUUGAAGAUUUUGUCAGAAAUAUCAUUGUGAGAAGAGUAUUUCUAAAGUUUACAACUUGGAAAUGAGACCUUAUGUGAUAUGUACAUGAAGGACAGAGUACAUGUCAGUAUUUAUAAGAAACAAUGUGAUGGUUUUAAAGAGACUAGUGGUGGUUUCAAAGAAACUAAAUAAAGUUUAUUAUUUAAUAAAAAGUCAAAUACAAAUCCUAAAGAAUCCGCUGUAUAAUCUGACAAGAUUUGGAAAACGGAGGCACAUGCAUGGCAAUAUCAUUACUUUGUAAGACUGGAUUAUUUUUAUAAAUUUUUAUCCAAAGAAACUAAAUAAAGUUUAUUAUUUAAUAAAAAGUCAAAUACAAAUCCCGAAGAAUCCGUUGUAUAAUGUGACAGGAUCUAGAAAACCGAAGCACAUGCAUAGCAAUAUCAUUACUUUGUACGAUUGGAUUUUUUUUAAUAAAUUUUUAUCCAAAGAAACUAAAUAAAGUUUAUUAUUUAAUAAAAAUUCAAAUACAAAUCCCGAAGAAUCCACCGUAUAAUCUGAUAGAAUCUGAAAAACGGAGGCACAUGUAUGGCAAUAUCAUUACUUUGUACGACUGGAUUAUUUUUACAACUUUUUAUCCAAAGAAACUAAAUAAAGUUUAUUAUUUAAUAAAAAGUCAAAUACAAAUCUCGAAGAAUCUGCUGUAUAAUCUAACAAAAUCUGAAAAACAGAGGCACAUGUAUGGCAAUAUCAUUAUUUUGUAUGACUGGAUAAUUUUUACAAAGUUUUAUCUAAUCCCUUGUUUGAUGCCAGUAAAUCAAUAUUUAAAUAUAUAGUUAUUUUGUUAUGUUAUUUGAUUUUAACUAUUAAUGUCAAUAUUGGAAUAUAUCUUUAUAUUGAACUAAUAAAACAACUGUAUAAAGACAUUUGAAUAAACUUAAUUACGAAUUUUGAAUUCAUGAUGUAAGAUAGCAUUUGCUUUUUAAUCUGAAAUCUGAGUGGGGUUUGAAUUUGGCUGAAAUAUGAAUAUCUUUAAAUUGCAUAUGUUUAAAUGACAUGUUUAUUUUCUCUUUUUCGAUAUCCAAAUAUAAGGGGCAUCUUUUUUUUAUAUAUAUAAAUCAAAAACAUCCAAAGUAUGAUUAUUUAACAUUUAUGUUUUUGUAAGAAUUAUUUGUACUUAUUAUAAAUUUUAAGAGUUAAAUACAUGCACAUUACAAUUAAAAUCAAACAUACGUAGAGUUGAGUAAUUGAUCUUUAAAUAAAAAUAUUAUUACAUUACUCCAAAUAUAAAAUUGAUUCAAAUUUAUUAUACUAAUUAAAAUGUGAAUAAAUUUAAAUUUAAUUUUAUAAUUUACAUCAUCUUUUUUACCAUUUUAAAUUGUAAAGCCCAUUCGCCCAAACCUAGUCUUAGUUAGUUGUACAUAAGUGUAAAGGCCCAUAUGUUCUUAAGAAGUGUUAAGUUUUCAUAGACCCAUAAGUGAAUGGAGAAAUGUAAUGCCCCAAAUUCAAGCCAGAGUUAUAACUGUUGGCAGAUUUGUAUAAUCUUUUUAAAACAAUUCUCUAAUUAUGUUAAAAGACAAAAUAAAUCUAAUUAAAUUCUUAUAUUUCUCUCUCUUUCUCUAUAAGUUUCUUUUUCUAGUUCAUUACUCCCACACAACUACACCAAAGUCUUUUAUAUAUAUAUAUAUAUUUUAUUUUCUCUCAAACACUUUGUAUAUUACAUAAUAACUAUUUAAGUCCAUUUUUAGUUCUACUCAAUUCAAGUAUAUAGAAUUUUCUUUUUAAUUAAAUAUAUAUGAUUUAAACUUUCAAAAUUUUGUAAAAACAAUAUCCCUAAUAUGAGGUUUGUGGAAGAAGUUAAAUUUUUUUUAAUAAAAAAGAAACUAAAAUUUUAAAAAAGAGUUUUUGAAAACUUAAAAUAGGUUUUGAAGGGGGGGGGCUUGAGAAAAAAAAUUAUGAGGUGCUAUUAGUUCCACUCUUCAAGCAAAGAUACACAGACCUUUACUCUUCCAAAUAAAUUUUGCGGUGAAUUUUAUUGUUGGCUAAUCACGCUGAUAUGAGUGUGAAUAUGAAAAGGAUAAAACUUAUAAUAAAGAAUUAUAUGAACUUAUAAUAAAGCAUUAUAUGAACUAUAUUUUAAAGAGAAAAUAUAUUUUUAAAACUAUGAAAAUUUUCUUGCAAAUAUGAGCUAGGGAGAUAAAUUGAAGAGGUUACAUGUCAUCAAUCUAGUUACUUCAGAAAAUGUAGCCCAAUGUCUUCAGAUGGGUUAGUGUUGGUGUGUUACUAAGAAAUAGGCCGAAGUUGUAAAAAUAAAAAAUAAAAACAGUAGGUUUUCAUAUUAACAAAGAACAGUUAUUUCACAGAACACAUGAAUAUCUCUAUGAUGUUGAUGCUUUCAUUUCUACAGCUUCUAUUGGAAUUGGUUCAGCCAUGAUCAUUGGCAAUCAGCCAAGAUUAUUGGCAAUAUUGUAGGCUAUGUCUUUACCCGUUAGAAGCAUAACUUGUGCAGUUAAUUUUGGCACAUCACAUGUUUGACGAAAUUGCCAUAACAAAUGCAUAACUCAUGUACUCUUUCUUUUUUUAUCAUUAAUUCUGUACUAUAAAUAUGUACCUGUAAAUAGUGAAAUACACACAAAAAUCAUUUCUUUUAUCAAUUGUUCUUCUUCUAAUAUAUUUUACAGCUUCUUUUAGUUUUCUCCCCAGUGCAAACUCCAGAGGAGGUGGAACAGCAUUUCCAAUCUGCCGAUGCUUGUGUUGGAUGUCACCAACAAAUUUAUAGCUAUCGGAGAAACCCUGCUGGAAUCAAGAGAGCAGGGUAACAUGACAGCAGAAACAGUUGGCAAAAUUUAUCUUGUUUGAUUCAGUAAUUAGCUUGUCAAGUUAAAAGUGUCACCGGUGCUGCAUGAAAAUUAUUUUUGGUCAUUCUGGUUUUUCAGCAUUCCUACUAACUGCAGGAUAUUUACAUAUAUAGCCAAAAAGACUUGUGAUCGAGCACACUCACGAACUGUGAUUAUUCUAUCCUGAUCUGGGUGAAAGCACGUUCCGACCAUACCCAUCGGAUGAGGAUCAGUAACGGAGGUUGGAAAGUUUCCUUUCCAGUCCAACCUUCCGAACAGACCCUUCCAUUGAUUAUGCUUUUCAGCUGUAUUGGGUAAGCACCAGGGUAUUAAAUCUACAAACUGUCCGUUAGACAAUCGAACCUGGAGGGGGAAUUUGAAAAGGAAAAUGUUUAAAACCAAAGCAAUUAUGAAAUGAUAAUUUCAGUUGGAUCUAAAAGAAAAACUAUACACCUUCUCACUAGGAAGAACACGCCAAUCGGAACCAGGCUGUUUUGGGAUCUUUUGACACCUAAUAAGGUUCAGCUCACUCAUUGCCUUUGAUAUAUGAUCGUUUAAGACCAGCAUAUCUCCUCUGAUUUUCUUUUGAAACCCUGACACUAGUUCACUUUUAUACUGCACGGUAGGAAAAUACAAGAAACAAGACCUUUGGUAGAAGGAACAACAAUAAAGAUAAAAUGAGCAUCACAGACAGGUGAAGAAAAUCCCACUUCCAUGGUUGUUACAGAAGCCCCAUUGCCAACAGUUGGGAGGUCUCCAAUUGUAUCUCUAACUGUUAUUGCACGAAAAGGAGCACCAUUUGCGGUGCUUCGAACAGCAGCAUAAUGGGAAUUUCUAGCUAACUUGACCUUUAGCUCAGGGCCAGUGAACACAUGCAUUGGCUCAGGCCAUUCUGGAAGGGUUUCCUCAGGUGAUGCUUCCCAUAUGAAUGCACGUUUACGAGACUGAGACAUGCCAUAUGCUCCUGCUUGCAGGACACCAAAUCUCACCUACAACAACAAAUUAGAUGAAUAAUUUGUAUAAGCUACAUGAUACUUUCACAAUUUUCAGAUUAAAUUGACAAAUGAAAUGGAGAAACAAAUUCAGGGAAUUUUGAUAGGUACCCCUCUAUAAAGUUAUGAGUGAGUAAAUCAAAAAUGGUAUCUACAAAAUAUAUUAAGAUCUCAUUUUUUAUAUAUUUUUUAUACAAAUUUUUUUUUUCUCAAAGCAGUGCAUGGCAGUCUUUCUUGAAUCUGACUUUUCAAACACAAACUCUACAAAAUAUAUUGAAGGCAAAUGAUCUGAAUCUGCAGUUUCAACCACCAACAUUAACCACAUUGCCACAAACAAUGGCACGUUUGUAAAGAGACUCACUGAAACAUGUUUUUCUUAUUAACUCCCCAUCCCAUUUGGUAGCCUUCGAAGAGCAAGGUGGCUUAACACUUAUCGCAGAUAAACAAAAUUUCUCCAUAUUCUUAUCAGCUUGCAUCUGUUCCACUCUAAUGUCUUCAGGAUCUUCCUCACUAUUUUCUCCAUGUUCUUCAUCGAGUUCUUCAUCCGCUUUCGCUUCACGGAUAUAUGCCUCCUUUGAAUCUUCAGGCAAAUAAUUUGAGUAAAACUCUUCCCAAAUCCUCUUUAUGAAUCUCGUGGUUGUUGCUUGCAUUACCUUGUUUUUUGAUGCUCUCAGAUUUGAAUUUAUUUCCUUCUUCAGCACCACCUUUUUUUUCACCAAAGACCUGGUGUGGCGUCUUUCCUCCAUUUUUUCAAAAAGACCAGACACAAAUGCACACUUGCUGAUCCUUUUAUUAGGAAGCUCUGCAAAUUGUUGGAGUAUGAUAUGUCCAUGAACCACCACAUACCUUUCAAAUUCUGUGGGAUUGGAAGAAUAUAAGCAGGAUUAAUCUUACUGAACUUGGACACUUUUUUGAUUACAUCUGCAAACGAGAGUCGAGAUGCUCGACUCUGAUUGUUCAACAUUGUAAUGAUGGCAAUAGCAAGCCUCGCAGUUUUUGGAACUGGUUUGUACCACGCUGCAUACUGCUUACAAGAAGACUAACGGCAAAUCGCGGAACAAGUCCCUCAAGGAGCAAGGACGAGAUCGCGACGAGGACGCCGCGAGCUUAGGUGGGGGAGGAUGUUACGGUCCGCCCAAAUCGCUAGCCCAAUUACCCAUAAUUUCAGGCUAGAGAGCCAACACAAAGCCAAGAGUGCUAGCUUGGCCCAAUUCCAGAAACUUCUAGGCAAUUCUUGCACAAAUGAGCUUGUAAAUAUUCUAGAAUACUCCAUACUUUUCCAGCACAUGUAAAUAUCUAGAAUUCUAGGCACAUUGUAGAAUUCUCUAGAAUCUCUAGAGCUUGGCAAGCCUCCCCUAUAAAUAUGGGAUGGCAUUAGGCAUUUGCAUCCAACAAACACUACAACAAGCAACUCAAGCAUUGUAAUCUCUUUUGUGCAAUACAAGUUUCUUCUUUGGCUUAAUUGCUCUCUUCUCUAGUCCGAGAAGUUCUAGGUUUACUUAGCAACAUUCGGCAAAGUUGUCUAAGUGCCGCACGGGUUAGCUGCGCAAAACACUCAUCCCGUGACAUUAAGCACUAGUACCACCACCAAACCUCUUGAUAGUAUACCCAUAUAGAUGCAUACCAGGAAAUAUCUGUCCGAACUGAUAUGGAAAGGAACGAGUAUCCAAAUUCGAUCAUCCAUUCCUGUAUUGCACUCAAAUAUAUUGGUAUUCCCCCAAUAUUCUCUGCCACAGAUGAAGACUGAUCAAAAUUAGCAUCAACACAUAAUCCACUUGAAUCACCAGUUGUCAUAAUCCCGGACCCAAAGAUGGUAAUAUCAUUAUCAUCACAUGGUUUCAUUGGGAGGAACUCCAAAGAAAUCAACCGCGAAUCUGAGUUGUAAAGUGACCAAUUGUGAAGCAUUCUUCGAGAAAGCUCAUCAGGAUUAAUUGCAUCAAAGAUUAAAUACUCAUCAUUUUGCUCCUCACUGGGCUUGUAAUAUGCAGGCAGAGGAUAGUCAUCAACAAUUUCAUCUUCAUUGAUUUUACUGCAGAACUUGCUUGAUGAAGCAACUCUCCUCUGAGUUUUAUUAUGUUUCGUUGAUUGCCAAUUCUCCUCUUCCUGCAACAGCCUUGCCAAUUUCAUAUCUUUAUCUUCUUCACCUCCAGAAGCAGAUGAACUAGACUGAUUGUUUUGCUCUUCUUCUUCACUGCUGGAUGCACUGGUUUCCAGGUAAUUAAACUCCCUUGCUUCCUAGUUUCAUCCAGCAGUGCAAGGAGCACAGGCAAGUUCUCAAAGAUCUGAUCAUUUUUUUUUGGAUGUCUCAUCUAAACCGAUGAGUUGAUUGUAUAUGAAUUCAACCUGUGAGAUUAUAAAUUCCCUCAUAGAUGUCCUGUGAGGAAAAUUCUUGCUAUCACUCAUGGAACGAACAACUCCUGCAAGCAAUUCAUCGACAGUCUGAUCAGGGUUCCCUCCACAAGAACUUGAAAGUUUUUUAUAGACCUCCACAGAGGCACGAGCCUUUUCAUAGAAAAGGUUAUAUAGUAUUUUAUAACUAUUAGCAGGUUUAACACAAUCAUAGUCUGCAGUGACAGUUGAAAUCCAAAAUACCGGUGAGCCUUCCUCAUAUCCAGAUAUUGCCCAAGAUUCAACUCGUCCGAAAUCUUCACAUCUAACAACAUUUUUCAAGAGGCAAUAUAAGACCUGAAACGAACAAGUUUCCAACUUCCAACAUUUCAACAGACUUUAGGUUUCCACAAGCAUCAUGAAAGGCAAUUCUGUUAGCCUUCGAUUUGGUCUAACGUCAUCCUUUCUAGCGGUCAAGCUUAUUGCAUCCUCUUCAUUUUCUGCAACAACUUCUUCCCUUGUGCUUUCCACAAAAGAUGCACUUCCAGAGAAGGAAAGAGAUUUAUCCAUGAUAUCCAUACAUGCAGCAGCUCUCUUUGGCAUUUUCCAAGAAUUGGAUGCUUUUUCACUAUUUUCAUGUCUACUUCUCUUUUCUUCUUUCAUAAAAAUACUCAUAAACUUUACUCAAAUUAUCAAAAAAAAAAAAGAAAAAAAUCAUAUAGUUAAUUUUUCUUCUUCUUUACUCCAUUAUUCAAUGGGAGUAUAAUAAAUUAGGAAAAAGGAGAAAUUAAGAAGAAAAUUAGGGUGAUUAUUGCAAUGAGAAGAACUCAGGCAAGUGCUUAUUUCAGAUACAUGCGUGGCAUUCAUUAAUUUGACCAAAAAUAAAUGAAUUUGUUUGUAUUUUAAUCAAAAUCGAGGGACAUCAACAAAAUUUUUCCACUCCAGGUAUUUAUCAUUUUCUCGUUAAGAAAAAAAAAUUGCAUAAAAUUAAGAAACCAGUAGUCACUAAACGAGAGAAACAGAGUAAGGAGAGUUCAAAUUUCAAAAGAUAGAACCCAAAGAAGAAACCCUAGCAACGAUCCCAGAAGAAGAAGAAGAUGAUGAUGAUGAUGAAGACACAGCCAUGCCCAACGUUAAGCACAACCCUAAAACAAAACAAAACAAAAGACAACUCUUCGGACUCGAGCGAUGCCUCUGACUCUGACUCGGAUUCUGUCUCAGAAGACGAAGCAAAACAGAACAUGGAGCUUCAAAACUAGAGUAUCAUCUAUCCAAUGAACCUCCAAAUUAUGACACCCAUGUUCAAGUAACUUCAAUACGCAUACUUAUUCUGUGAUUUUGUGGAUACCCAUUUGCUUGUUCUUUCUUAAUUGGGUUGCGAUAAAAAUGGCUUUUUUUUCUUCAGUACAUAAAAGUUUUGAGAAAAAUGGGUGAGAUAGAGAAGCUGAGACAAGCUAGGGAAGCGAUGAAAGAGAUUAUUUCCAUUGAUUCCUGCUAAGUGGCAAGAAUGGGCGAGAGAUGAAGCCUCUAUUUCAACUGGGUAUCUGUCAUUUCCUUUUUGCAGUGGUUUUCGAUUUUUUGAACAAAUAUUUUUUUUGCUUAGAGAUAUAGAUGUUUAUGUUCGUUAUUUGCUAAUGUAAAAAGGAACAAAACCUGCUUAAAAGGUAUGAAAAAGUGAACCAAUUUGAAGAAGGGAAUACUUAUAGUGGAGUUCUAUUCUUUGGGGUUUAAUUGAUGGGAGAAGAAACAGCUUAUAUGUUUACAGAAUUAGACAUUUGAUCGCUGAGUUAGUUGAGGAAGAUAUUUAAGGGAGAAUUGUGUGGGAUGUACCCCAUUCCCUUCAAAAUACCCAAUAUAUACCUAAAAUUAUAACACUCUUAAAUUUUACACAUAUAUACUCUAAAAAAUUAGAGAAAGUACAAAAAUAACCACAACUAAAUCCUCAUAAAACUAAACCCAACUCCUCGAAGUCGGGUAAAUGGUCUAGAAUACUCGACUUCAACCAAACCAUACACAAUUAAUAAUUCAGCAUAAAUUCUCGACUUUUUCAUGUUAGUCGGGUAAGUAGUCGAGAAUACUCGACUUCAAUUGAAAUAAAAAAUUAUCUGAAAAAUUCUUAAUUUUUUCAAGUAAGUCGAGUAAAGAGUCGAGAAUACCCGACUUUAAUUUAACCUUACCCAAUAUUCAUUCAGCAAAAAUUCCUGACUUUUCAUUGAAGUUUGGUAAUUGGUUGAGAAUACUCGACUUAAAUUGAAAUGAAAAUUUUCCUUUUAAUUAAGUCGGGUAAAAAGUCGAGUAUACUUGACUUUGGUUGUGUUAUUAUAUAGAAGUCAUGAGAGAAAGCAAACGUAAAUAGAUGAUUUUUUAAGGUUAUUUUUGACUUUUUACACUUUUUGGAGGUAUAUGUAUGUAAUAGGGUAUAGAUUUGGCAUUUAAGGACAAAUGGGGUAUAUUUAAAUAAAAAACCCGAUAUUUAAUCACAAUGUCUGAUGUUGUUUCUGUUGGCCUCAGCUAAUUGUUAAGAUUUCAUACUUUCAUUCAACAAUGCAAUAGACUUUGGUUGGGUCCACCUUAGUUGGGUGUUUUGAGGAACCAAGAGUGUCUUGAGAAAACUUGGGUGGAGUGCGGAUCAUUUUCAGGAUUCAGUUUCCAAGAAAGCAAAAACGAAGUUGAAAAAUCAAAUAAUGACAGAAACAAAAUAAUAAAUCAAAACGAUUAAUUGAUUGUUUUCAUGUGUGUUAAUCAAUUAAUACAAAGAUUAAUUAUCAAUUAAUCAAUGCAUAAAUAUUGUUGACUUAAUUUUUGUCAAUCAAUCAAAUUUUCUAAUCACAAUUGUAUCGUUUCUGCAACAUCUUUCUCUCACAAGGUAAUAGGUUGUAGUAUUUCAUACCAAAUUAAAACUUGCCCAUGUUACCGAUGAAAAUCAUGAUAACAUUAUUAGAGAGCUUUUUUUUUUCUUUUUUCCCUUACCCUUUUUUCUGUUUUGUCCUUUUGUUUGAUUGGGCGUAAUGAAACAGAUAUAACAAGGGACCAAGCAUGACCUAUAUAUAUAUUCAACAAGCAAGGAAACAAGGGAUUGAAUUUGAUGUGUCACAGCACAAUAAGUUAAAUCUUAAAUUUGGACAGACAAGACAAAUAUAGAAGCAUCUAAUCCACCAAAGGAUAGACAUGGGACUUGACAUGAAAAUAAAUACAGACACAAACAUAAACAUUUACUCCUCCAAUGAUUGUUUCAAUAUCUUUAUCCUUGAUAUUUGCUCACUUUUAUAAAAUAUAAAUCUGCUGGAAAAUUUUGUGUACCUUAAACAGUCUUCUGACUUAUGAGAAAAAAACUAUUUUAAAAAAAAUAUUGCAGAGAAAAAUAAAAAAAAAACUGCUAAAGAGACAAAAUAAUGUCAGAAUGCUGACCAAAAUAAUGUUAAAAUUAACCCGUUAAUGUGUUGACAAUUGAGUGAUUAUUAUUAACUUAAGUUUGUUUAAUUGUCAAUUGAGUGAUUAUUAGGCCGAAUUGAUAAAGAACUUUUAAUAAUAUAUGAAAUCUCUUUUUUCAUCAAUCAUGUCUCAAAAUGGUUGGCGAGUAAGCAAUGUUUGGCUUGUCCAACUGCAUUGUCGUGGCCUUGAUAUUUUAACCUAAUAAUGCAAUGAGGUGAUGAUCUCAUUUGCUUUAUCUAUAAGUUAUCCCGAUUUAAUUUAAAACAGAUGUUUCAUUCCCUGUUCUUUGAAUUUUAAAAGUUUUUACUGUAUGUACAGCAAUUAUAAAUUUAAUUUGCGGUUUAAUCGUUAAGCAUGAAUAAUGAUAUGAUCUAACAUACAACUUUAUGUUUAGAGUGAAGUACCCAUAUUUAAAGGUUCAAUAAUAUAUGAAAUCUAUUUUUUCCUUCAAUAAAAAUAUAUAUCUCCCACGUAUAAUUUUAAGUGAGACGAACGUAACAUUUUCUCCCAUAUACAUCCAAUUUGAAAUAAAUCAAUGGUGAUAGUGAUAUUAUUAUGAGAGUAAAAUUACGAAACACAUGACAUGAUUUUAUUAAAUAAUAGUACCUUUAAAUCUCUGUCAUGGUCAAAAAAAAAAUUUGUCACUUUCUUUUAUGUCAAUAAAAAUUAGCUUUUUUUUUUCUCUUUUUUCUCUUUAAAAGAAGAGAAUAACAAUGUUUUAGAUCGUUGUUUACAAUACAUGGAUAAACUGGGUAAUUAGUUAAAGACCUGUAAACCAAAAAUGGAUUUAUGUAUUCAUCUUAUCUCCACAUUAUAUGUUGAUGCUUUCAUUUCUACUCGUCCUUUAGUUUCUUCUCAAUGCACAGGCCAGGAUAGGUGGAACAACAUUUCCAAUGUGCUAUGCUUGUGUUGGAUGUUAUCAACAAUCUUGUAGCCAUCCGAAAAACCCUACGUGACGAGGAAGUAAGAUUAAUUUAAAAGUAUAAUCACAAGUGAUGCAAAUAGUAAUAAAAUCUAAACAAUUAAGAAGUUUUACAGUCAAACUUCUAAGAAUGGAGGUUUGUUCAUUGGUUUUAAAACUUAUUUUGUAUAUUCUAAUUUUUCAUUUAAACAAUUACACAAAUUUUGAUCCAGUGCUGAUUACAAUCUUGUAAGAAAAAAAGCACAAAUCUUAGAUCAGCACUAAAUCCAAAUCUCAAUUCCAAAUAUCAAAAUAGCAAUAAGACUUACUCGAGAUCAAUCGCAUACUCACGAACUUUCACCGAUUGUAUCUCUAAUUGUUAUUGCACGGAAAGGAGCGCCAUUUGGUAACUUGGCAUUAAGCUCAAGACCGGCAAAGACGUGCAUUGGUUCUAGCCAUUCCGGCAUUGUUUCCUCAAGUGAAGCUGCCCAUAUGAAUGCUUGUUUAGGACAUGGAAACACAUCGUAUGCUGCUGCUUCCAAUGCAUCGACCUCGCCUAUAAUAACAACAAUAAAUAGAUGAAUAAUCUAAUCGGAGGUGAUUGUACAUAUACCGACAAUAGGGUUUAUUUUAACUAUGACACAAUUGCACAACUAAUUCCCAGACGAAGGCUCAAUUUAGGACUGGUUAGGCAAUUAAAAAGUGUUUCGUAAGGACUUUCAAUUAUGAUUUGGAAGUUAAAGAUAAUUUUACUCAAUUGUUUGAUGAAAUUGUAUUAGAUCUUGGCCAGGACUUGACUGAGUGUUUUCAAUCAGCUUUCUUUGGCUAGUCACUCAAGUUUAAACCCUGUAAGUGGGAUGAACCAAAGAAAUUGAUUCAGGCUUUUUGUACCACCCCACAACUUACUAUUUAUUCAAACAUAUUUACUUUAAAAGUCAGGGUAUCUUGAUAGGCACCCCUCUAUGUUAAGUUAAAUGAAUAUCGGUGGGUGAGGUUUAUAAUAAUAGACAUCAAUUACAUACCACAGCUUCUUUAUGGACAUGCAAUCCAUCGGUCGUAGCAGAACUAGCUGACAGCGCCUGCAGGGCAUAUGCAAUUAUACUUUGAUUAGUGUUCAUGAAGCUAAAGCAGUGUAAAUAACAGAUCAUGGCUUAAUUAAUUAAUUACCUGAAGGUGGUUAAAUAAUUGAGAAUGAAAUUAUAUUAUUAAGCAAAGACAUAAGCUAAAUUACCCCAUUUAUCUGUUUGAAAUCUCAUCUUGAGAGCAAAUGGCGGCACUGACGAGGCUUGCUCAAUUUCGGCCUGCAUGGCUGCAUGUCUGAUAAGAGUGGAAACAUAAUGCCUUUAGCUAAAUCGUAGAAUGUUAAAUCUGAUGCUACUGAAUAUGGAGAGUGAUUCAUAUACACGGUCUUCACGAAUAUAUAGUUGUUAAUUACAGGAGAAGUUGCAAUAUGAAGUUAAUUUGAAAUUUAUAUUUCUCACCUCGAAUAAUUUCUGGUAAAUCGCUGAUUCGAUAAAGUCAAACUUUCUUUAUGAUCAUCAUCUUCUUCUUGGUCUUCACCUUCCGAUAUUCCUAUUUCUGAUGUUUCUCCACAUUUUCUUCCUCUUUUAACAGCUUUCAUUGAAGCUUUUGACAGAAAUAUCAUUGUGAGAAGAGUAUUUCUAAAGUUUACAACUUGAAAAUGAGACCUUAUGUGAUAUGUACAUGAAGGAUAGAGAACAUGCCAAUAUUUAUAAGAAACAAUGUGGUGGUUUUAAAGAAACUAAAUAAAGUUUAUUAUUUAAUAAAAAGUCAAAUACAAAUCCCGAAGAAUCCGCUGUAUAAUAUGAUAAAAUCUAGAAAACGGAGGCAUCUGUAUGGCAACAUCGUUACUUUGUAUGACUGGAUUAUUUUUAUAAAUUUUUUAUCCAAAGAAACUAAAUAAAGUUUAUUAUUUAAUAAAACAUUAAAUACAAAUCCCGAAAAAUCCGCUAUAUAAUCUGACAGAAUCUAGAAAACGGAGGCACAUGCAUGGCAAUAUCAUUACUUUGUACGAUUGGAUUAUUUUUAUAAAUUUUUAUCCAAAGAAACUAAAUAAAGUUUAUUAUUUAAUAAAAAGUCAAAUACAAAUCCUGAAGAAUCUGCUGUGUAAUCUGACAGAAUCUAGAAAAUGGAGGCACAUAUAUGGCAAUAUCAUUACUUUCUACGACUGGAUUAUUUUACAAAUUUUUUUCUAAUCCCUUAUUUGAUGCUUGUAAAUCAAUAUUUAAAUAUAUAGUUAUUUGAUUUUAACUAUUAAUGUCAAUGUAGGAAUAUAUAUUUAUAUUGAACUAAUAAAACAAUACUAUAAAGACAUUUGAAUAAACUUAAUUAUGGAUUUUGAAUUCAUGAUGUAAGGUAGCAUUUGUUUUUUAAUCUAAAAUUUGAGUGAGUUUGAAUUUAGCUGAAAUCUGAAUAAGUUUGAAUUUUGUAUGUCUAAAUAAAUGACAUGUUUGUUUUCUCUUUUUCGAUAUAUAAUUAUAAGUGGCAUUUUUUUUAAUAAAUCAAAAACAUAUGAAAUAUGAUUAUUUAACAUUUAUGUUUUUGUAAGAAUUAUUUAUACUUAUUAUAAAUUUUAAGAGUUAAAUACGUGCACAUUACAAUUAAAAUCAAACAUACAUAGAAUUGAGUAAUUGAUCUUUAAAUAAAAAUAUUAUUACAUUACUCCAAAUACAAAAUUGAUUCAAACUUAUUAUACUUAUUAAAAUGUGAAUAAAUUUAAUUUUAAUUUUAUAAUUUAAAUAAUCUUUUUUACCAUUUAAGAUUGUAAAAGCCCAUUCGCCCAUACCUAGUCUUUAUUAGUUGUACAUAAAUGUAAAGGCCCAUAUGUUCUUGAGAAGUGUUAAGUGAAUGUAUAUGUGUAAUGUCACUAAAUUCAAGCCAGAGUUAUAACUGUUGGCAGAUUUGUACAAUCCUUUUAAAAUCGUUCUCUAAUUAUAUUAAAAGACAAAAUAAAUCUAAUUAAAUUCUUAUAUUUUUCUCUCUCUAUAAAUUUCUCUUUCUAAUGGGAGAAAGAUAUCUACACCCCCAAAUUUUUGGAAAAUGGUCAUCAACACCUCUAAGUUUUCAAAGAGGGACACCAAGACUCCUUUUUGACGAUUAUAUCAUUUAUCUCUAUUAUCUCAAAAGAAUUAACUCUAAUAUUUUACAAUAAAUAGAAAUAUGAUAUUAAAAUAAAUAUAAUAAUAUAUACAUUUUAAAAUAAUUUCAAUUUUUAAAAAAUAUUUUAAUAUUUUAUAAUCUAUUAGAUAUAUUUUAUUAUAUUAAAGUAAAUUUUAUGAUAAAUAGAAUCAUAAUAUUAAAAUAAAUGUAUUAAAAUUAAAAUUAUAUUGAAUAUUACGUAAAAUAAUAAUUUUAAAAAUAUUAGUAUGUGAGAAUAUUUUUAAUUGUAGAACGUAUUUAAUGCAAAUAUAUAUUUAAAAUCUUUACAAUAAAUAAAAAUAUAUUAUUAAAAUAAAUAUAAUAAUUUACAUAUUAAAAUUUAUUAAAAUAUGAAAUAUUUUAAUAUUGUUAGUCUACUGCAUAGAUUAUAUUAUUUAUAUGGCAUUGACAUUUACUAAAAAUUUUAAAGUCAAUUUUUUAGAAUAAUAGAGAUAAAUGGUAUAAUGGUCAAAAGGAGGUCUUGGUGUCUCUCCUUAAAAGCUUGGGGGUGUUGAUGACCAUUUCUCCAAAUCUUGGGGGUGUAGAUGUCCUUUUUCCUUUUCUAAUUCAUUACCCCCACACAACUACACCAAAGUCUUAAAUUUUUUUUUUAAAGUCUUUUAUAUUUUUUUUGUUUUCUCUCAAACACUUUGUAUAUUACAUAAUAGUUAUUUGAGUCCAUUUUUAGUUCUACUCAAUUGAAGUAUAUAGAAUUUUCUUUUUAAUUAAAUAUAUAUGAUUUAAACUUUCAAAAAUUUGUAAAACAAUAUCAAUAAUAGGAAGUCUGUAGAAGAAACUAACUAUUUUUUAAUAAAAAAGAAACUGCAAUUUUAAAAAAGAGUUUUUGAAAAAUUAAAAUAAGUUUUGACAGAAAGGGGGGCUUGAGAAAAAAAAAUUACAAGGUGCUAUUAGUCCCACUCUUCAAGCAAAGAUACACAGACCUUUUCUCCUCCGAAUAAAUUUUGCGGUGAAUUUUUAUUGUUGGCUAAUAACGUUGAUAUGAGUGUGAAUAUAAAAAGGAGAAAACUUAUAAUAAAGGAUUAUAUGAACUAUGUUUUAAAGAGAAACAUAUACGAGCUAGUGAGAUAAAUUGAAGAGGUUACGUAUCAUCAAUCUAGUUACUUCAGAAAAUAUGGCCCAAUGUCUUCAGAUGGGUUAGUGUUACUGUGUUAGUGUGUUACUAAGAAAUAGGCCGAAGUUGUAAAAAUAAAAAAUAAAAAUAGUAGUUUUUCAUAUUAAAAGAGAACAGUUAUUUCACAGACCACAUGAAUAUCUCUAUGGGGUUGAUGCUUUCAUUUCUACAACUUCCUUUAGUUUUCUCCCCAGUGCAAACGCCAGAGGAGGUGGAACAGCAUUUCCAAUCUGCCGAUGAUGUGUUGGAUGUCACCAACAAAUUUAUAGCUAUCGGAGAAACCCUGCGGGAAUCAAGAGAGCAGGGUAACAUGACAGCAGAAACAGUUGGCAAAAUUUAUCUUGUUUGAUUCAAUAAUUAGCUUGUCAAGUUAAAAGUGUCACCGGUGCUGCAUGAAAAUUAUUUUUUGUCAUUCUGGUUUUUCAUCAUUCCAACUAACUGCAGAUUUUUACAUAUAUAGCCAAAAAGACUUACUUGUGAUCGAGCACACUCACGAACUGUGAUUAUUCUAUCCUGAUUUGGGUGAAAACAGGUUCCGACCAUACCCAUCGGAUGAGGAUCAGUAACGGAGGUUGGAAAAUUUCCUUCCCAGUCCAACCUUCCGAACAAACCCUUCCAUUGAUUGUGCUUUUCAGCUGUAUUGGGUAAGCACCAGGGUAUUAAAUCUACAACCUAUCUGUUAGACAAUCGAACCUGGAGGGGGAAUUUGAAAAGGAAAAUGUUUAAAACCAAAGCAAUUAUGAAAUGAUAAUUUCAGUUAGAUCUAAAAGAAAAACUAUACACCUUCUCACUAGGAAGAACACGCCAAUCGGAACCAGGCUGUUUUGGGAUCUUUUGACACCUAAUAAGGUUCAGCUCACUCAUUGCCUUUGAUAUAUGAUCAUUUAAGACCAGCAUAUCUCCUCUGAUUUUCUUUUGAAACCAUAACACAGGUUCACUUUUAUACUGCGCGGUAGGAAAAUACAAGAAACAAGACCUUUGGUAGAAGGAACAACAAUAAAGAUAAAAUGAGCAUCACAGACAGGUGAAGAAAAUCCCACUUCCAUGGUUGUUACAGAAGCCCCAUUGCCAACAGCUGGGAGGUCUCCAAUUGUAUCUCUAACUGUUAUUGCACGAAAAGGAGCACCAUUUGCUGUGCUUCGAACAGCAGCAUAAUGGGAAUUUCUAGCUAACUUGACCUUUAGCUCAGGGCCAGUGAACACAUGCAUUGGCGCGGGCCAUUCUGGAAGGGUUUCCUCAGGUGAUGCUUCCUAUAUGAAUGCACGUUUAUGUUGGGAAAAUAUGCUCUUUAAAAGCAUAUGUAUUUAUUUAAUUGUAAUAAACAAUUUUUCUGAUUAAUAAAAUAAAUGAGGUAUUUUAUUCAAAUAUCUUAAUUACAUUAAUAUUUGUAUUAAAGUGCAUUUAAUCAUAUUAUAUGUAUUUAUGUGAUCACCAUGUGGAUUCAUAGAAGACAUAAAUACAAGUUAUCUUAUGAUUAAAUAAAUUUAGUUCGUAGUUGAUAAAUAAAGUUGGGCACUUUAUUUAGGUAUAGACUGUAAUAAAUUCAUUAAAUGAUUUGUCUUAAUCAUGUAUGAAUUUAUUGAUGUAGUACGACUACAUUGAACAGGAUCACAUAUGAGAUUUAAUUAACUUUGUAAUAACUGUCAGACUUAUUAAAUCUCAUAGGCGUUGAUUUUACUGUAAUCUUAAUCUUGAGUUAAUUAUGAUUUCAUGAUUGUGAUUGUUAUUUCAUUUGAGUUACCAAUGGGCACAACACAUCCUUGUGGUCAAGAUUACCCGGUAUCUUGGUGGGAGCAAUUAUGAGUAUUGGAGUUAUGGAUUAACAAUAUAGAAUUUGUACAACACAUCUCUUGAUAGGUUUUCGGUACUUGAUCAUAGAAUUCUCUGGCCAGAGUGUGUCAACAUAUUUAGUAUGUUGAAAAUGAUCAUUAGAGAAAACCAGUAAGGAUCAAGGAAUAAGAUGUUAUUAAAUUGAUUGGACAGUUGAGAUAUCAAUUUAAUUAACGAUGUGGUACAAAGGAUUGUGCAGUAAAGAAAUCAAUGUGGCUUAGGACGAAUUAUUAUUUGAACAUACAAUUAUGGAAGUCAGUUCCAAUCUUUUAGUGGAGUAGAUUUGGAAUUAAAUAAUUUGGCUAGUUUAAUUACAGGCCUAAUUAUUGUAGCCACUAUUGUAUGUUCCCAAAUGAUCCCCGGGUUAGCUCAUUUAAUUGAUUGCACCACUACUGGACUAAUAAGCAAGAUAACUAGCUAUUUGGGUCAAAAGCCUAAAUAUAUCAUUUAGUGGGAGGCUCCAUUUAAUAAGCUUAUGUAUAAGGGGCCUCAUGUUAUUUUACAUGGUGGGUCCCCUACAAAAUAAAAAGGAACGUGAGUUUUAUUUUGGGCAUUAUUUGGAGCCUAGGAUUUUCACUAAAGGGAGAUAUAUAAGGCUUAUUUUCUCUAAAAAAAAAAAAAAGACAAGCCACUUUAUACAAAUCAGAGAAUAAGAUUUUUCUCUCUAUUGUUGAGAGAAAAAUUUUCUCGUGCUAGUUGCUUUGGUAGUGAUAAAGGCGCCCACACGUCAAGUGCAGAUCGAACCUGAGUCAUAACCUGGAAGAUCAUUGGUGACAGUUCGUGAUCUAACAAGCGUGGUGGUGACGGAUCGUGAUCUAACAGGAGUGGUGGUGGCAGAUCGUGAUCUAGGAGCCUAAAUCACUUCAGUGGAAAAGCCAACUCGGAUUUUCAAGGUACGAUUUCUAGAAUACGAAUUCUUAUAUUUUAUAUGAGAGCGAUCUUCAAAAGGUUUUAUAAAAAUUAAAAAACCUAAUUUUUCCCCACAGUUUACGAGACUGAGACAUGCCAUAUGCCCUUGCUUGCAGGACACCAAAUCUCACCUACAACAACAAAUUAGAUGAAUAAUUUAUAUAAGCUACAUGAUACUUUCACAAUUUUCCGAUUAAAUUGACUAAUUAAAUGGAGAAACAAAUUUAGGGAAUUUUGAUAGGCACCCCUCUAUCAAGUUAUGAGUAAAUCAAAAAUGGUAUCUACCUGAUAACCCAUCUGAAGGAGAGAAGCCAGAGUUAAGCGAAAUGUUUGCCCUUUGUUAAAUGAUGUAAAGUUCCUUACAUUCUCCAGAAGGAAAAAUCUGGGGCGGAAAUAAUCAGCAAAAGACAACGAUGCUAAGAUCAUUUCACAUUGAACUUUGCUCCAAGAGCCUUGAUUAAACCUAUUCAUUCCAGAAAAUCCCUGGAAAUAACAAAGAACCAAUAGCUAAACUUUAUAGGUCUAUUGUACACAAUUACUGUUAGAAUUGCUUACAAAAUAAAUCCUAGAAGUAGGCUGGAGGAUAGAUCGAUGUACCUGACAAGGAGGCCCUCCACUGAUGAAAUCCACUUGUCUUGGCUGAGGCAAAUUCUUAAUUGUCUCUGUUUGUGGGAUAUGCUUCGACGAAGACCAACAGUGAUGAGCAGACAUCUGGUAGCAGGGUUCCUCGAAUAGGUAUAUCUUCUAAGAGUCUAGUAGCCGGGGGGGCAGGAGCAGGAAUAUCCUACUCGUCCGCGAGUACGUCAUCUACGAGGCCAAUCUCCUGCUGGAAGCAUAAAGCCAUUCCUAUUAAGGGUUGAGUCGAGGAGUCCCAGUUAACGACAGUUGGCGAGACAUGCUCGCCAGUCCAAGAAUCAAGGCACGAAGGCCACGCAACCACCCACGACUACAGAAAUGAGGCAUCCACUUUCGAGAGGUAGGAGGAUAACGAGCGCGAAUGGAGGGAAGGCCUGAGUUCAGGAGGGGCCUAUAAAAAGGUAGCCAACGAAGGUAAAAGGGUUAGAAUUUUUUAGAUUAGAACUGAGAAAAAAAGAGAGAGCUCUACAGAAUUGAUACGCCAUAAGAUUUGUGGCUAGCAUUUCCAGGAACACAAAAACCUUCAUUUCUGACUUGAGCGUCGGAGGGUUUACACCGGGAAAACAACCGGCGUGCUCUGACCUGAUUCUGUGUACGCAGGGACUUCUGGAGAAGAAGCCUUACGAGGAGAUAUCCUUAUCGUAAUAGAGUUGAUCGAGCAGAGAUCCUGGUCGUGGUAGGAAGGGUAACCAGAAUCUCGCAUCAACAUUUUGGCACCGUCCGUGGGGAUCAGAUCAAAAAGCUUCUGUUGACAGCAAGAAGAGGAGCAAAGCAAGUGGAAAAACAAUGGAGGCGGGAGGAAGUAGUGCACAAGGGGGUGAUACGAGGCUUAACGAUUCCGUGACGCUGAGGGAGAUAACCAGUGAAGCACGGGAAAAAGUCAUGUUUGACCGGAUGGAACGAAUGGAAAAACAGAUGGAAACCCUAACAACCAUCCUGCAUGAGCUGCGGAGUGAAUGAAUGGGAACCCAGGAGGAAAGGUGAGAGGUGGUGGAGUGGCACCAGGUCACGAUAGUACGAGGAGAAGUCAAACCACCAGGAGAUUUGGAGGUGAGAGAGGUAACUUAUCUCUGCGGGGAGAAAUUCAUAGAGAGGAAGAGCAAUCCCCAGCAAGACAGAUUUUUGAUGAGGACGACGGGGUGGCGAAUGCCGAGGAAACAGAGCUCAGGCAACACUUACAUGAUGUAGAACAAGAGCGGGAUCAAGUUGCAACACGUGACCCUGGUCGCGCAGUGCAGCUGGAGGAGGAAGUGCGCAGACUAGUGCAGGUAAUUGAUGACAUGCAAGGAAGGAGCAGAGCUCCUGGUUGGAGGAUAAUGCUGGACGGAGAAUCACCGCUCGUGGCAGAAAUCAUGAGGGUAGUCAUUCCAAGAGAUUUUCGCCUCUCAGACCUUAGAUAUUCGGGACGAACUGAUCCGUUGGUGCACAUAGAGCGCUUCAACGAUAUAACCGGGGUGUAAGGAUUAUGUCAAGCCUAAAGGUGCAUGGUGUUCCCACUAUCCCUAGAGGGACACGCACGGGAGUGGUACAGAAAACUUCCUCGGGGGAGCAUUAAAACUUUCGAGCAGAUGUGCAAGGAAUUUGUAGAGCAGUUUCGUGGGGCAAUGGCACCAGAAGAUGACAUGAUGGAGUUGAAAAGCAUGAAGCAGGGGGAGCAAGAAACCCUUCAGAAAUUCAUCAAGAGGUUCCAUCGUGCUGUCCUCGAUUUGGGAGCCUUUAACCAUCCUCAGGCAAUAAGGGGAUUGAAAGAAUGGGUGAAAAUAGAAAGGCUGUGGUACAACUUGAGAAGCCCUGUUAUUCAGACGUAUGCAGCCACAUACGAGCAAGCUAAGAGGGUCAUAGAGAUUGAGGAAGAAAAGGCAGCACAAAUUAAGACAGACUAGCUAGAAGGGCUGGGAAAGAAAGAUAAGAGAGCAUUACCAGGGAAUGGGCCGAUCAGGAGGAGGGACCACCAGGCCUCAGGUAGUGGUGCAGGAGGUUGGGUAACCACUUACCAGCCUCAUCAAAGGCUAUCACAGUGUCAGUAUAGCAGGGUGCAACCUCCUCGCUCACCAGCUAGGGAGCCUUGGAGAAGGCAUGACUCGGCAUAUGGUGGUCUUCAUCCACACUCCGACGGUAGUAGAGGGAGUAGACCAGAAGCGCUGCCACUGCCUCCAACUCAGAACGGUGCUAAUAGAGAAAAGGCAGUGCACAUGAUCGACCAAAACCAGGACUAUGGGCAGUAUACUUCCUUGAAGUUGCUCCUGGACGAGGUGUACGAGGCCAUAAAGGACUGGGGACUACUGUACCUUCCUACCCUAAUAACAAAGCUACCCAGCAGGAAAGAUAGGGGACGCUAUUGUAAGUUCCAUGGCACUCAUGGCCAUACUACUACAGAAUGCAGAGAUUUUAAGACCCAGGUUGAAGAUUUGGUGAGAAAUCGGUACCUGGACGAGUUUAUAGAUGGGACUUUCCCAAUGGUGGCCUCGACAUGUGAAGGGGAGCAGAGUGACAGAAACUUGAGGCGCGAGAAGCCUACAGUAAGGGUGAUAGCUGGGGGCCCAACAUUGGCCGAAGAUUCCAACAGAUCGAGGAAGAAUUAUGCUAGAUACGCCAUGACUAGUAAAGAGGUAUUCCUUAACACCCCAGCAGCCAAACGAGUAAGAGUCAGGUAAGUGUCAAUCAUGUAGAUAGAUGAGGAUGAAGAAGGGAUUCUAUACCCCCACGAGGAUGCCUUAGUUAUCAAGGCCACUGUUGCUAGCAAGAAAUUUAACCGGAUACUGGUUGACACAUGGAGCUCAGUUGAUGUGUUGUUUAAGUCAAUUGUGGAGGAGAUGGGAAUAACAGACUUGAAGUUGGCGUACACCAAUACCUCCUUGAAGGGGUUUGGAGGAGGAAAGCUGGUCCCUCUGGGCGUGGUCGAGCUACUUAUCACGAUUGGGAGCUCCCCAACAAAAAGGACUAUGAUAUUGGACUUUGUGGUGGUGGAUGAAGAAGGUCAUUACAAGAUAAUCCUAGGUCGACCAUUUCUGAGGAUGAGCAAAGUGGUACCGUCCAACCAUUAUCUAGCUCUCAAGUACUAGGUGAAUGGGGUAGUUACAGUGGUACGAAGAGACUAGAGAAUCGCACGAAGCUGUUACUCCUUGGCAGUAAGGGAAGCAAUGCAGAUUACAUCCUUUGAUACUUGAGUAGAGACCAAAAUUGGCAGACAGGAGCCCGUAGAGGAACUAGAGACAGUAAGCUUGUAGCAGGAUGACCCUGGAAAAACAGUCCGAAUCGGGUCGAGACUUAAAGAUGAGCAGAAGCAGGAGCCGGUCCAUUACUUACGAGCACAUGCAAAUGUGUUUGCUUGGACACACGAAGACAUGCUGGGAAUCGACCCUGAGGUCGCAUGCCAUAGGUUGGCAAUAAAAAAGGGUGCUCGGGCAAUAAGGCAGAAAAGAAGAUGCUUCAACCAGGAGAGAUAUGAGGCUAUAAACGGUGAAGUGGAGAAACUCUUGAAGGCAGGGUUUAUUCGGGAAGUCAACUAUCCGGAGUGGAUAUCGAAUGUGGUAUUAGUAAAAAAGGCCAAUGGCAAGUGGAGGAUGUGUGUGGAUUUCACGGAUCUCAAUAAGGCAUGCCCGAAAGACAGCUUUCCCUUACCAAAGAUCGACCAGCUUGUAGACUCAACAGCUGGACAUGGCCUGCUCAGCUUCAUGGACGCGUUUUCGGGAUACAACCAAAUCCCCAUGUUCGAGCAGGAUGAGGAGAGCACGGCAUUUAUUACUAACCAGGGUCUGUUCUGUUACAGGGUAAUGCCGUUUGGUCUUAAAAAUGUGGGGGCCACAUACCAGAGACUGGUGAACAAAGUCUUUAAGCCGUUGAUUGGGAGAACAAUGGAGAUGUACGUGGAAGACAUGAUAACUAAGUCGAAAAUCCCGAAGGAACAUGUCGAGCACCUUGAGGAGACAUUCGCGCUUUUGAGGAAGUACAAGAUGAAGCUCAACCCGGAAAAGUGUGCUUUUGGGGUCGAGUUAGGGAAAUUCCUCGGAUUCAUGGUGAGUCAUAGGGGGAUCGAGGGAAAUCCCGAGAAGAUCUAGGCGAUCGUUCAGAUGAGGUCUCCUCGUAACCUGAAGGAGAUGCAGAGCCUUACGGGGAGGCUGGCAACAUUGAGCCGAUUCAUAUCCAAAGCUACAGAUAAGUGUCAGACAUUCUUUCAAGUGAUAAGGAGAGGGAAGAAAACAGAAUGGACCCCAGAAUACGAAGAGGCCUUUCAGAGCUUGAAGCAAUACUUGCAGCAAGCACCCCUACUGUCCACACCAAGGGAUGGGGACAAGUUAUCAUUGUAUUUGGCGGUAUCAGAUCGUGCCACAAGUUAUGUUCUGGUGAGAGAGGAAGAAGGGGUUCAGUAUCCGAUAUACUACACCAGCAAGGCCCUGCUCGACGCUGAGACCCGACACCCACCGUUGGAGAAAUGGGCACUCGCUCUUGUGGUCGCUGCUCGAAAGCUGAGACCGUACUUUCAAGCAUUCCCCGUCUCGAUAAUAACAAACCAGCCGUUGAGUUAAACCCUACACAAGCCGGAUGCCUCUGGUCGGCUCGUGAAGUGGGCUAUAGAGCUGAGCUAGUUCGACAUUGAUUACAAACCCCGAGCAGCGAUAAGGCGCAAGCAAUGGCCGAUUUCGUAGUAGAGUUUGCAGAGCCUGAAAUAUGUUUGGACCAGCUGGAUAUUGCUACAAACAGCAGCGAAGCCUGAGUAUGGCAGAUGUCUGUAGAUGGGUCAUCAGGGGAGCAGGGAUUAGGAGCAGGAAUUGUCUUGGAAGGCCCAGAGGGGGAGGAGAUCUCUUAUGCUGUAAAGUUAGAAUUCACAGCCACAAAUAACCAGGUAGAGUACAAAGCCUUGAUAGCAGGUUUGGAAUUGGCUAAGGUUGUGAAAGCAGAUAGAGUGAAGAUCAUAACUGAUUCCCAGCUAGUUGCGAAUCAUGUCAGUGAAAGAUUUUAACCGAGAGAGGAGAAGAUGGAGUAGUACCUGAAGAUAGUCAGGCAGAUGAUGGGGAAAUUCGAAGCGGUAGAGGUGAUACAAAUCCCCAGGGAGCAGAAUAGUCGAGCAGAUAUUUUGGCCAGGAUGGCAGCAGUAGCGGAUCCAAAAAUACCGAAGUCGAUCCCUCUGGAGGUGAAGUCCAGCCCGAGCAUCGAGCAGAAUCUGAAGGUGCUGAGGAUAGAACAAAAAUACUCGUGGAUGGAUCCGAUAAUUUCAUACCUUAGAGACGGGGUAUUACCACCAGACAAGCUGCGAGCUCAGAAGAUUAGAGCCUAGGCCUCAAGAUAAACGAUGAUUGAUGGGGUGCUAUAUCGGCGAGGGUAUACGCUACCGUUCCUUCGGUGUUUGGAUGAGGACGACGCGGACUACAUACUGAGAGAAAUACAUGAAGGAAUUUGUGGAAACCAUUCUGGUGGAAGGUCCCUAGCCCACAAGGUUCUAAGGCAGAGAUAUUUCUGGCCGACAAUGCACUAGGAUGCGCAUGAGAAGACCAGGAAUUGUGUAAGCUGCCAGAGUUUUGCAAGUUUCUCCAAUCAACCACCAGAGAAGCUCACCUCAAUGGACUCCCCUUGGCCAUUUGCUCAAUGGGGAAUUGAUCUGAUCGGCCCGUUGCCAAAGGGACGAGGAGCAGUAACACAUGCAAUAGUUGCAAUAGACUACUUCACAAAGUGGAUAGAGGUAGAAGCCCUCAGCAGGAUCACAAAGAAGAAGACAACAGACUUCGUAUGGAGAAACCUGGUCUGUCGUUACGGGUCCCUUAUGCCUUGAUAACGGAUGAUGGCAGACAGUUUGAUAACCAUAACUUCAAGGAUUUCUACCAGAACCUCGGGAUAGAGUUGAAAUAUUGCUCGCCUGCUCACCCUUAGUCUAAUGGACAAGUAGAAGCAGCCAACAAGACGAUCAAGAGGCUUUUGAAAACCAGGCUUGGAGCAAAAAAGGGUGCAUGGGUUGAAGAGCUAUCAGGUGUUUUAUGGGCAUACAGGACAACCCACAAAACAGCAAUAGGAGAAACACCAUUCGCCUUGGCCUUCGGACAUGAGGCGGUCGUACAAGCCGAGAUAGGAACGACCACGCACCGGACAGAUCAUUUCGAUGAGCAGGAGAACAACGAGCAGAUGUGCCUGAAUCUGGAUUUGCUAACUGAGAAGAAGGACCAGACAUCGAAGCGAUCAGCCAUUUACCAGCAGAGGGUAGCUCGGUAUUAUAACCAGAUGGUGAAUGUACGACAGUUCAAAGUCGGAGAUUGGGUGCUGAGGAGAGUGAAUUAGAACACCAAAGACCCGACUCAAGGAGUGCUUGGACCGAAUUGGGAGGGGCCAUAUAGGGUCAAGCAGAUAGUGGGACCCGGAGCUUACAAGCUGAUUCGCACGGACGGCCACGAGGUGAAGUGCCCGUGGAACGCGGCACACCUUAGGAAAUAUUUCCAGUAAGACUUGUUCAUGUUUUAAAGUUAUUUCUGUUCGUGCUCGUUAUCAUUUAUUUUAUGUUAAAGCAAUCUCAUGUAAAUCGAAUUCAACAAUAAAUGAAUCGAUGAGGAAUUUCAGUCAAUUGUACCGCUAGAAAUAUUUCUAAGGCAUGCAAAGGCUCACCAGGUCUCAAACCCUGUUUAUGGCGAGACCAGAAGCCAAACGUGCCAAGAUCUGCUCGACCACGCGAAGGCAAGCAGAAUCCCAAGCAUUGAAGAAUUGUCUAAGGCAUGCAAAGGCUCACCAAGUCUCAAAACCUAUUUAUGGCGAGACCAGAAGCCAAGCGUGCCAGGAUCUGCUCGACCACGCGAAGGCGAGCAGACUCCCAAAUAUCGAAAAAUUUCUAAGGCAUGCAAAGGCUCACCAAGUCUCAAAGCCUGUUUAUGGCGAGACCAGAAGCCAAGCGUGCCAGGAUCUGCUCGACCACGCGAAGGCGAGCAGACUCCCAAAUAUCGAAAAAUUUCUAAGGCAUGCGAAGGCUUACUAGGUCUCAAAACCUGUUUAUGGCGAGACCAAAAGCCAAGCGUGCCAGGAUCUGCUCGACCACGCGAAGGCGAACAGAAUCCCAAGCAUUGAAGAAUUGUCCAAGGCAUGCAAAGGCUCACCAAGUCUCAAAGCCUGUUUAUGGCAAGACCAGAAGCCACGCGUGCUAGGAUCUGCUCAAUCACGCGAAGGCGAGCAGACUCCCAAAUAUCGAAAAAUUUCUAAGGCAUGCAAAGGCUCACUAAGUCUCAAAGCCUGUUUAUAGCGAGACCAGAAGCCAAGCGUGCCAAGAUCUGCUCGACCAUGCGAAGGCGAGCAGACUCCCAAAUAUCAAAAAAUUUCUAAGGCAUGCAAAGGCUCACCAAGUCUCAAAGUCUGACUAUGGCAAGACCAGAAGCCAAGCGUACCAGGAUCUGCCCGACCAAGCGAAGCCGAGCGGAAUCCCAAGGCAUGCAAAAAAUUAAGUCCGAAAGCCAGUCAUGUAGCAAGAACAUAUGAAAAGCUAGAACCUGCUCGACCCAGCGAAGGCGAGCAGACUCUCAAAUGGAAAAAUAACUCGUAAAUACAACACGAGAAAGCAAUCAAAAACAUUUUUAUUAAUUUGUCAAUAACUAGCAAAGUUGAUAAUAUUCACACACAUUGUUCAUUACAACACAAGAAACAUGUUUAAGAGGACAGCGGGUCAGUAAGUCGAGCACCAUCAGUUGGCUGGACCACCUCAGGUGCAGGGGGUAUCACCAGUUGCGUCCGGGGGGUGCUUGCCUCACCAACAUCAGCAGGGAUUGCACGAGGAGGAGAGUUUUCCUCCUCAACCAGAAUUGGCUCCACCUCUUCGACAUCCUCUUUUGCUGCCUCCUCGUCCAUGUGUUGAGCAACACCAGCUGCAAGGUCAUCCAUCUUCAAAUCAGGGUGCUGCUUCCCAAGGAUGGCCAUGAUGCAACGAUAGGAAUGUCAGAGUCCCUGGUCGUAUUGGUUGUCAGCCUCCUUCUCCAAGUUCUCGACCUGAACCCGGUGGGAAUCGCGGAAAGAUUCGCGCUGAGCCUCGUACAUAAUCUUCUGCCUUUGCAGAUCCUCCUUGACCUUAGUCAGCUCGUUCUCGAGAGUAAUGGUCUUUGCUUGAGCAAGAGAUUCUUGUUCUAUCAGCUUCAGAUUCUCGAGAUUCAGGUCUCCUGCUUUCUUCUCGGCAUCGUCAGCUCGGGUCAUUGCUGACUGAAUGUCCUCCUUCAUCUUCCGGUCAUAACGGCCGACCUUGGCCUUAUAGUAAGUGGUCAUGCAGCUGAGAUGGAAAGCGCUAUACUGUAUGGCCCCCACCAGCUCACCUAGGGUGCAGCCAUCAAAGUCCUCCAAGUCCUUCUUGCUCACGAGUUUAGAUAGCUCGUUGAGAUAAGGGGCCAAGUGCUCUGCUCGGUUGUUAGAUAAACGAGAUUUAGGCCCGACCGGAGGAGAAGAGGAAGCAGGAUCAGCGGCUGCUCCACUAGUUUCUUUGACUUUGGAAUGAAGAGGAGGUAGAGUCUUCAAGGGAGGAACCUGCUGCACAAUGUUCACCCGCUUCGCAGUGGGAGCGUCCUUGUUCUGGUCCCUCUUCGCAGUUUGAGGUCGAGGACGUUUCCGAGUCAGAGCUCCAAUCACAGCAUCCUCCAUCUUAUGGCCGGGGGGCACCAAACAAGACUCGAGUAGGUUAUAAGCAGUUAUUAGCUCUCGACUCAAGCAGAAAUUGGCCAGUACAGCCUCGACCUGUUUGAGCUGGUUAGGUUUGAGUAGGAAGUGAACACCCCAAGAACCUGCAAUACAAACAGACAUUUGGUUAGAGACAAACCAGUAAAGCGAGAACAAUUAUGGAUACAAGACAUCUAAAGUGAGCAGGCAACCUGGGACCACGAAAUGGGGUGGGACGCGAUAAUCCUUCCUGUCAAUCUGUGCAACUUGACUCCAGGGACCGCCAGUAAAAAAGAACUUUUUCUUCCAAUUCCCAACACCACCAGUAGGGAGGUCGGUUAUGGGUUUCCUGGUCUUAGUACUUGAUUGGAAGUAAUACCAGCCAGCAUCUUUGGGGCUACUUUUCAGCUGGUACAGAUGCUUCACCUCAUCAAUUGUGGGCUCACUUUGGCAACAUCUGUCCCACAAUAUGAAUAGACCAGAGAGUACUCUCCACCCGCUGGGGUUCAGCUGACCAGGAGCUAGAUUUAGCCCUUUAAGAAUCUGGGCAAAGUAGGGUUGCAAGGGACACCUCAGUCCAUACUUAAAACUCUCCAAAAAUAAGGUAACAUAUCCCCUAGGAGGCCGGCUAGGGGUAUCCUUCUUUCUUGGGAUCUUAAGAGGUAUUUCACCACGAAUACUAUACCUAAGCCGGAGGUCAGUGAGCGCGUCAAAUGUGGUCAUGCACGUAAUAUAAUCAAUAGCGUAAUCCCGCGAUAGGGCUCUACCCCCUACUGUACUCCGCCCUUCUGGUCGCGAUAUUCCCGAUGAGGAUACCUCACCAGAGUCACCCCCUCGAUCCUCAUUCAGGGUGUUUUCUGAGCCAAAAGAUCCCUCCUCACUACUAUUUCCACUCAAGGAGGCUGUUUGGGGGGACAUCCUCCUAGAACUAGUCCCAACACUAGACCUAAUGGGCUUCAAAGGGAUCCCGGGGUCAAAAGUAAGAUCGGUGAGCAGACUAGGCAGGAAGUCCAACUCAUCGUCAUCAACCUCAAUGACUUUCUCUUUACCUUUCGACAUUCCCUAAAUUAUAACCAGAGCACCACCACCAACCACUACCCAAGCAAAGCAAAGAGAAAAGAAAUUAUCUACAACUAUCCAAGACCGAGAAAAUAAGAGAAAUACCUGAAGAAAGGGCUCGGUCAGAAAGAGACAGGGAUGGAAGCCUUAAUGCCGAAGUUCAUUCGCCGGAGAGACAAUAAGGGAGAAGAUGACGAGUUCUCGUUUAGGGGUUUUGGGUUUUCCUACUGAGGAACAAAUUCUUGGGAUGCCAGCAAUUAACGGCACAUAUCCCAAGAGUCUUACAACCGUAGGUUUGAAAUUCAAAUGGAGGGGUAGAUUUCUGCCACAUCACCUCAUCCGCAAUUAAAUGCAACACGAUUCUUGGCAGCCUUUUCCAAUCCCGCGCGAGCCAGAACUGUCGAGUUUCUACUGUCGGCUCACUAUGUUACCCAACACCAGAAACUGGGGGACCAGUGUUUGUGGGAUAUGCUUCGACGAAGACCAGCAGUGAUGGUCAGACAUCUGGUAGCAGGGUUCCUCGAACAGGUAUAUCUUGUAAGAGUCUGGUAGCCGGGGGGGCAGGAGCAGGAAUAUCCUGCUCGUCCGCGAGUACGUCAUCCACGAGGCCAAUCUCCUGCUGGAAGCAUAAAGCCAUUCCUGCUAAGGGUUGAGUCGAAAAGACCCGGUCAACGACAGUUGGCGAGACGUGCUCGCCAGUCCGAGAAUCAAGGCACGAAGGCCACGCAACCACCCACGACUACAGAAAUGGGGCAUCCACUUUCAAGAGGUGGGAGAAUAACGAGCGCGAAUGGAGGGAAGGCCUGAGUUCAGGAGGGGCCUAUAAAAAGGUAGCCAACGAAGGUAAAAGGGUUAGAAUUUUUUAGAUUAGAACUGAGAAAAGAAGAGAGAGCUCUACAGAAUUGAUACACCAUAAGAUUUGUGGCUAGCAUUCCCAGGAACACAAAAACCUUCAUUUCUAACUUGAGCGUCGGAGGGUUUAUGCCGGGCAAACAACCGUCGUGCUCUGACCUGUUUCUAUGUACGUAGGGACUUCUGGAGAAGAAGCCUUACGAGGAGAGAUCCUGAUGGUAAUAGAGUUGAUCGAGCAGAGAUCCUGGUCAUGGUAGGAAGGGUAACCAGAACCUCGCAUCAAUAGUCUCUUCAUCAAGUUUUGCUGCUAGAUCAGCAGCUUCAGGAGUUGAAUUACAGUCAUCAGUAUCCCCACAUGCUGACAUGAUAGCCCUGCAUUUGAUUCAUUGAUUUAUUGAAGAUAUAAGAGUUGAUUUCAAAGCAAUUAUCACCUAAUCGAACACAAAGCCAUGAGUUAUUAUACUUAAAUGAAAGCAAACAUCAACCUCAGGAUCACAUUGCAGUUGUUAAUAAACACCAAAGCGUCUGGAUGAUUAACAUUGAAUGCUUCUCCUACUGAUUGCUCAUUCUCUAUAGCCCAGUUGGUUAUCGACAGUUCGACACACCUUUAGUUGCAUAUUUGUCAGUCACAAUAGACCUAAAUCGGUUUACUUGCUCACGGAACUUUGAAAGUUACCUGCUUGCUGUAGGCCAUCAAAUAAGCCACCACAACCUGCGAAAUUAUCUAAUGUGGCUAAGCAAUUCUUAGAUAUUCAGAUUUUACUCCAUUCAAUAAAAAAUGAUAUCUACUAGUUUAAAAAAAAACUAGUAGUAUAAGACAAAGGAAAAAAAGAACACGUAAAAUGUUUAGAUUUUACUCCAUUCAAUAAAAAAAGAAAUAUUUAGAUCGGUUCCUAGAGCAUACUUACUUCUCUAAUGUCAGAGUAGUAUGCUUUCUCCUCUGAUAUGAUGAUGAGCUACGUAGACAUAAUCAUGAACAUGGCAGUAGAUGGUACUCCGUUCCUUUGAGAGUGAACCAUUUCUGUUCAAAUUUACCUUGAAAACGUCCUUCUUCCUCUCGGUUUCCUUUAUUUUACAAGAAUGGCAAGCUCCUGUUCCAAGUCCCAUGGUAUCUUUUUGAAGCUUAAAGAAAGCACCUCUCUCAGGCCAGUACAAGCUUUUACAAUAAUAUUCCAUGGGGAAUUGAUCAAUUCUUCUAUCCUCUGCUCUUUCACGAACAAUUUUGUCCUUGCAAGCAUUAGUAUUCCGAUGUUGAUGCCCCCAAAGAAUCAAUAAGAUUUCAACUGCCACAACUUCUUUAACAUCUUCCAGUUCAAUUUCCAAGCAAUCAUUUGUCAAAAAAACCUCAUUAGAAUCUGCAGUUUUAUUACAAGAAACGUUUCAGAGCCUCUUAGCAUGUGUCUGCCAUGAACCAUCUUUCUUGAAUCUGACUUUUCAAACAUAAACUCUACAAAAUAUAUUAAAGGCAAAUGAUCUGAAUCUGCAGUUUCAACCAGCACGCAACCACCAACAUUAACCACAUUGCCACAAACAAUGGCACGUUUGUAAAGAGACUCACUCAAACAUGUUUUUCUUAUUAACUCCCCAUCCCAUUUCGUAGCCUUCGAAGAGCAAGGUGGCUUAACACUUUUCGCAGAUAAACAAAAUUUCUCCAUAUUCUUAUCAACUUGCAUCUGUUCCACUUUAAUGUCUUCGGGAUAUUCCUCACUAUUUUCUCCAUGUUCUGCAUCGAGUUCUUCAUCCACUUUCACUUCACGGCUAUAUGCCUCUUUGAAUCUUCAGGCAAAUAAUUUGAGUAAAACUCUUCCCAAAUCCUCUUUAUCAAUCUCGUGGUUGUUGCUUGCAUUACCUUUUUUUUUAUACUCUCAUAUUUGAAUUUAUUUCCUUCUUCAGCACCACAUUUUUUUUCACUAAAGACCUGGUGUGGCGUCUUUCCUCCAUUUUUUCAAAAAGACCAGACACAAAUGCACACUUGCUGAUCCUUUUACUAGGAAGCUCUGCAAAUUGUUGGAGUAUGAUAUGUCCAUGAACCACCACAUACCUUUCAACUUCUGUGGGAUUGGAAGAAAUAUAAGCAGGAUUAGUCUUACUGAACUUGGACACUUUUUUUAUUACAUCUACAAAACGAGAGUCGAGAUGCUCAACUCUGAUUGUCCAACAUUGUAAUGAGGGCAAUAGCAAGCCUCGCAGUUUUUAGAACUGGUUUGUACCACGUUGCAUACUGCUUUAAUGGCCUUCCAAGCCUAUACCUAAAAACAAAAUCGCAAAUUUGAUAAGAACUAACACUGACAGAAGAUAAAGAGGACAAAAAGGCAAGCUUAAGCACUAGUACCACCACCAAACCUCUUGGUAGUAUAUGGAUAUUGAUGUAUACCAGGAAAUAUCUGUCCGAACUGAUAUGGAAAUGAACGAGUAUCCAAAUUCGAUCAUCCAUUCCUGUAUUGCACUCAAAUAUACUGGUAGUCCCCCAACAUUCUCUGCCACAGAUGAAGACUGAUCAAAAUUAGCAUCAACACAUAAUCCACUUGAAUCACCAGUUGUCAUAAUCCCAGAUCCAAAGAUGGUAAUAUCAUUAUCAUCACAUGGUUUCAUUGGGAGGAGCUCUAAAGAAAUCAACCGCGAAUCUAAGUUGUGAAGUGACCAAUUGUAAAGCAUUCUUCGAGGAAGCUCGUCAGGAUUAAUUGCAUCAAAGAUUAAAUACUCAUCAUUUUCCUCCUCAUUGGGCUUGUAAUAUGCAGGCAGAGGAUAGUCAUCAACAAUUUCAUCCUCAUUGAUUUUACAGCAGAACUUGCUUGAUGAAGCAACUCUCCUCUGAGUUUUAUUAUGUUUCGUUGAUUGCCAAUUCUCCUCUUCCUACAACAGCCUUGCCAAUUUCAUAUCUUUAUCUUCUUCACCUCCAGAAGCAGAUGAACUAGACUGAUUAUUUUGCACUUCUUCACCAAUUCUCAUACCUGUAUUUAUGAGACUGCUGGAUGCACUGGUUUCCAGAGUAAUUAAACUCCCUUGCUUCUUAGUUUCAUCCAGCAAUGCAAGGAGCACAGGCAAGUUCUCAAAGAUCUGAUCAUUUUUCUUGGAUGUCUCAUCUAAACCGAUGAGUUGAUUAUAUAUGAAUUCACCCUGUGAGAUUAUAAAUUCCUUCAUAGGUGUCCUGUGAGGAAAAUUCUUGCUAUCACUCAUGGAACGAACAACUCCUGCAAGCAAUUCAUCGACAGUCUGAUCAGGGUUCCCUCCACAAGUCCUUGAAAGUUUUAUAGACCUCCACAGAGGCACAAGCCUUUUCAUAGAAAAGGUUAUAUAGCAUUUUAUAACUAUUAGCAGGUUUAACACAAUUAUAGUCUACAGUGACAGUUGAAAUCCAAAAUACCGGUGAGCCUUCCUCAUAUCCAGAUAUUGCCCAAGAUUCAACUCGUCCGAAAUCUUCACAUCUAACACCUCUUUUAUAACAUCCCAAAACUAACACGUGUGGAGCACGUGAAGAAGGAGGUUACUUACAAAUCAUAAUCCUUAUUCAUAAAUUCCAAAUUGAAAUACCUCAAAUUCUUAUUCAAUUAUAUCCACAAAUUCAAACGUCCAACACUAAAUAAGCUCUCACAAAACAUAACAAUAACAAAAGUCUCAAACUCUAAAUUACAAGUUCAUAACGAAAAUAAACUAAAUAGAAACAUGAGUCUAUUCCUUUUCUUAUUCAAAUGGCAAACGGAAAUGAAAAUUACUAACUCCAAAGCUAAGCGCACCUCUCAAAAGAAACUUAAUAUGCAAAAAGUAAUGACGAGGGGUGAGCCGUCAACUCGGUAAGUAAAACCAUUCCUAACACACUAUGCCUAUCGAUACUAAAAAUAUUGCAAGCCUUCUUUUGUUUAAAACAUAUAUCAUAAUCCAUAAAUUUCAUAAAACGAUAUAUCACGAUAACAUAACAUAAAUUCUUAAUAAUUUAGAAAAUUCAAAAGCAUAUUUACUUACGAAGCAAAUCAUAUAAUAUUAGGGAUGUCAAUGGGGCGGGUUCGGGUGGGGAUCAUGAUCCCCGAACCCGAACCCGAACCCGAUUUAGAAGCAAUCCCCCGAACCCGCCCCAUACCCGAAAAAUUCUAAUGGGGAAUUGUUUGGGUAUAUCCCCGAAAAUCCCCGAAUUGAGCGGGGAUUAAAACGGGGACCCGAUCCCCAUUUUUUAAAUAAAUAUUUCAGUUUUCUUUUUUUUAAAUAAUAAUAAUUCUAACAACCUCCAUAUUUAGAAAUAAAAUUACAAAUAAUCAAAUUUCAUAUUAGAAAUAAAAUUACAAGUGAUCAAAUUUUAACAACCUCCACAUAAAUAAAAACAUAAUAAUUUUAAGCCUUCAACAUAAUUACAAAUGAUUAAAUUUUAUACGACAAAUCAAAAUAAUUUUAAGUUUUCAACAUAAACUUGUAGCCAUCACCAUUGAUGCACAUUCUAAGAUUCUUCAUAAACCUAUCACAACAUAAACAAAAAAAAUUAAUAAAAACAUGUUUUAACAAUUCAACUUAAUAAAUACUUGACAAGAUAAUAUAAACUAAAACUAUAUACCUCUAUAGCCUCUACAUCUGUUUCAAUCUCUAGCUCCUCAUCAAGAAUCUUGGCAUAUGCUGGAGAGGUCGAUGCCACAACUACUUAAAAAAUAUAAAUAUAAAUAUCAAGUUAAUUAUUAGUUAAUUUAAAUAAAUAAAAAUACAAAAAUUAAAAUGCAAACUAUAUACCUCCACAAAGAGCACGUAUCCAACUUUGACUACACAUCAAAGCCUCUAAUGUGCUUGGAUGAAGUCUAUUGCGAUAUGGGCUUACAAAUCGACCGCCAGUGCUGAAAGCAGAUUCAGAAGCAACAGUGGUAACUGGAAUAGCCAAAAUAUCUCUUGCAAUUUGAGACAAUAUAGGAUAGUUACCACCAUUCACCUUCCACCAAGCUAAAACAUCAAAUUCUUCCUCAACAUUAAAUGGUACUAACUUUUCACCCAAAUAAGUGUCUAGUUCAUCCUUUACUUCCUCAUUACCAACAUUAACAAAACUAGUAAACCCCAAAAUCCAUUCAGUUGAACCCUUAUAGGAACCCGAACUCGGCAUAGAAUGCGAAGUACUUAAAGAACUAGAACUAUAUCCAGGAGAACUAGCAGCUGAUGCAUAUCUAGCUUUGUACUCUUUCACUAUACUUUGACAAUCACCAUACACUAUCUGGACACGAGAAGUAGCAUCAUCCCCAUAAAUCAUGGAAAAGUAAUAUUCAACCAACCUAAUUUUGAACCUAGGAUCAAAGAUACAUGCAAUAGACAGUAUUCCACUCAUGUCAUGCCAAUACUUAUCAAACUUUUCAAUCAUUUUCUGUGCCAUGAUUCUAAAUUCAUCAUACCUAGGAGUUGAAACCCAUUCAUUCAGGCAAAAUCUAAUAUCACACACAUGGCGCAGAAAUAGAUUAGAUGUUGGAUAACUAGUACCAGAAAAUAAUGUUGUACAAUCAUAAAAACAUUUCAAAUUAUUUUCUAAGGCACUAGCCAAUUACCAAUCAUGCUCACUAGGCAAACACUUAUAUUGUCCAUCAAUAUUCUUCAAUCGACAAAAAACGUUCUUAUAAUGUAAUGCAGAGCAUAUCAUGAGAUAAGUAGAAUUCCACCUAGUUGGAAAAUCUUGUACUAGUUUUCUACCAGAAGUAAUGCCUAAUUUACCUGCAUUCUCAUCAAAUGUCGAUUUCCUUUUAGUUGAUCCUGACCAAAAAAUAACACUCUCACGAAUGUUUUCAAUUAGAUCACCAAUCACACUUAAACCAUCCUUUACAAUCAAAUUUAGAAUGUGGGCACAACAACGAACAUGAAGCUUUUGUCCACCCAAAAUGAGAUCAUUUUUAUCUAGUGCCAACAACAUAAAAUCAAUCAUACGAUCAUUAGUAGCAGCAUUGUCAACAGUUAUGGAGGAUAACUUACGCUCAAUGUUGAACUCCAAUAACGAACCCAUCAGCUUAUCACAAAGCACUUGGCCUGUGUGAGAACCAGGCACUUCCAAAAAACUAAAAAAAAAAAAGAUCAUUAACAAUUAAAAAAAAAUCAGAUUGAUCACUAAUAAUUAAAAAAAAUCAGAUUGAUCAUUAACAAUUAAAAAAAAAUCAGAUUGGUCACUAAUAAUUAAAAAAAUCAUAACAGUAAGAAUUUUACCUCAAAAGUAUGCUCCGUAAUGCCCAAGCAUCGUCAAUAAAGUGUGCAGUGAUUGCCAUAUAUGCUUUUGUUUGAUUUUCUGCAGUCCACAUAUCAGUUGUAAUGGCAAUUCUACCUUGAGUUUGCUCCAAUACACUAAGAUAUUUGGCCCUUUCACACUCAUACAUGUCUAAAAUCUCCUUCUUGAUAGUAUUUCGAGACACCUGCUUCCACAAUUGAUUCAAAGAAGACAUAACAUCCCUCAGACCCUGAUGCUCUACAAUGCUCAGAGGGUACUCAUGCAUGACAAUAGCACGUGCCAUUUUUCUCCUCGUAACAUCAGGAUCAAAAUGAGUUUCUACUGCAGUCUUCCCUUUUUCACCAGCAGCUUUCUUUGCCAGUGGGAAUUCUGUGGCCUCUAUUUCCUUUUUCACUUGACAUGUCUUCAAAUGAUCGUGCAAGUGCUUUGUUCCAUCACUACUCCUUGCUACCAAUGCAUUUUUACAAUAAUUGCAGACAGCCUUAUCAAUCCUGUUAAUUUUUUUCUUCUCGAAAUGCUCCCACACAAUUGACCUCAACCUUCCUUUUCGUCGCAACCCACCAUGAGUAACACUAGCGGCUGAUUCACCUUGAGUAUGAUUGCCUUCAUCAUCCAUUAAGUGUGGUGUGGGCACAGAACUUGACAUAUUAAAUGUUGAACCUACAAUCAAGCCAAUAAGCAAAAUUUUAAAAUGAAAAUAAAACUAGCAUUUUACUAGAAGCAAACAAUUAAGAACUAUGCAGAUACAAAACAUUAAAUCUGAUUUUACCAUGUACUGGAUUUAAAACCAACUAGUACUAAGAUAUUUAAAGAUAAAAUACAAAUACUCGCUUAUUCUUUGGCUGCAACGAACAUUUACUAAUUAAGCAUCUAUAAUUUCUAGUUAUAUUUAAUGGUUAAUGAUGCUUAAUUGACUUACAGAAUGCCAAAGGUAAUAUAAAAACUAAAUUCUGGAAGUUAUUAAAUUUCUCCUAAAAAAUAUGACCUGAACUAAAAGCAAGAGCAAAAUCUGUACCCCCAGAUGUGAAAACCAAUAAUAUUUCAGAAAGCAGGAGGGCUUUGGUUCUGAACAAACCCAAAUCAGCAGAAGGGGCAGUGGGAUCCCAUAAAGAAUGUCAAAGGAAAUAUUAUUACCCAAGUUUGUCAAUACCUCAAUUUAUUAUUCUGCUCAACAAAAGUAAAUUAAUUAAUUAAAAUAAUAAAUAAAAAAUGUCCUCUUGGAUGUUUCAGCAAACUAAAAUAGAACUAGUUAAAUUCCUUCAGCUUCGAAACUAGCUAGCUAAAGGAAAAUGUUAAGAAUAAUGCAAAAACAAGAAUAAAAGAAAAGAAAAGCAAGCGGCCAAAAGAAAAGAAAAGCAAGCGGCCAAUAUGCAAGCAAGCAAUUAAACCCUGGAAAUUUAACACAGAGCUAAAAGAAAAUCAUGACUACCCAAGCUAUAAACCAAUUAAACCCUUAAAGUUUCAGUUGAUAGCAUAGGCAAACUAAUAAAGCUAAUAUUACUGACAAACAAAUUGCAGCCAGUAUCCAAAGGAAGUGCUAAAAAUGACAAUCAAAUGCAACUCAAUGACUCAUUACUGACAAACAAGCACGCAUAGAGACACCCAAAUCAAUGAAACCAGAUGCAAUUCGAAAUAAAUAAACAAAGAAAGAAAAGUAGAAAAGGCAAAAACCUUGUUGCAAGAGAACCAACAGGUGCAGCUGAGUGUUGGUCGGUGACGACGAACGGUGGCGGCUGACCAGCUGUUAGCGAUGACGGUAGCUCACGAACUGUUAGGGUUUCUUUUGGGGGAAAAAAUUUGAUUCGAUGGCAUUACAAUUUCUAAUUUCAAAGUUUAAAAUAUUAGAUUUUUUUUUGUUUUUAUUUUCGGGUUGAGUUAGGGGAUCCAGAAAAUCUCUAAACCCAAACCCAAAACGUUUUGGGGUUUUAGACCCAUACCCAAAUAGACCCGAAUUUACUUUUAGACUUUUUUGGGGCCCCAUACCCGCCCCAAAUUAAUCGGGGCCCCGCGGGUUUGGAGCCCCGUGGGUAUUGUUGCCAACUCUAUAUAAUACAUAUACAGAAAACAAAAGAUUAUCUCAUGUCACAUAGUGUCACCUAUAGUCCCGGUGACCCGACCAGAAACAGAAUCAGAAUAUCGUGUGCACACUCAGAACAGAAACCUAGUACUAGUCUAGACAGAUAUAUCGUAUAUUACGAUCAGAAUCAGAAUAAAAAUAACUAUGGACAAUUAGUCAAAACAUUAGGAAUCCCAUACAAUCAUCAAUAAUUGAAAUCAAACAUGGCUACAAAACAUUCGUAUCAUAUUCAUAAAAGUCCAUAUCAAUAAUUUAGGCUUGCAUAAUAUUUUAAAGAUAAAAUCAUAAAAGGUUUUCAUGUCAUAAAAUCAUUUACAUAUUAAAAAGAAUAUAGGUUUGAAAACAUUUACAUAAAACUAAUUUUGUUAUCAAAAUCAAUUAAUCCUUUAAGUAGUAUAAAAAUAUUUAUACUUAUAAUAAUAAUAUCAAAAUACUUAUACAUAUCUAGUAUACUAGGAAUGAAGUUACUUACGAAAGCAAAUCAUAUAUCACAUUCACAGAAAAACAAAAGGUUAGUUCAUGUCACAUAGUGUCACCUAUAGUCCCGGUGACCCGGCCAGAAACAGAAUCAGAAUCAGAAUAUCAUGUGCACACUCGGAACAGAAAUCUAAUACUGGUCUAGAACAUACAUAUAUCGUAUUAUACGAUCAGAAUCAGAAUCAGAAUAACUACAGACAAUGAGCCAAAACAUAAUGACUUAUACGUGGCACUUUGCACUAUUUGUGGCACUUUGCGACGCUUUGGCCUUCAAGAAGUGGUCCCCAUAUAGUCCCAAGAGGUGACCCCCGUACAAUCACAAAGAAUUGAAAACAUUCAUAAGCACAAAAACAUUCGCAUCAGUUUCAUAAAUGUCCAUAACAACAAUUUAGGCUUGCAAAAUAUUUUAUAAAUAAAAUCAUAAAAGUAGGCAUGUAACAAAAUAACUUACAUAUUUAAAAAGCAUUUAUAAAACACUUUGUUCAAAAGAAUUUAGGUUUGAAAACAUUUUCAUAAAACUAAUUUUGUUAUGAAAAUCCAUUAAUUUUCUAAGUAGUAUAAAAACAUUUAUACUUAUAAUAAUAAUAUAUUUAUACAUAUUCAGUAUACUAGGAAUGAAGUUACUUACCUCGACUAAAAAAUUUGAAUUAACACGCCUCUAAACCUCUAAGUGCCGCAAUCACCUCCAACACCAAUUGCUUUGAUUCUCUUCUAAAUAAAGGCUUGAAUCCUAGGGUUUGGGUAAGAGCGUAAUGAGCAGCAGGGAAGAAAAGAAACGUCGUGGAUUUAGGGUUAUGGAAGGGGGAAAAUAUGAAUUUAUAGGGAGUCUUAAGUAACCCUAUUGAAUUUGAAAAAAUAAUCCUUUUCCAAAAUUAUCUCAUAAUUAACCCUUAUUUAUAAUUUAAUAUCCCUUUUUAAUAAGGGUUAUAGGCCACGCAUGAUUCCUAAUGAAAGCCCAAUUUCCAUAAUUUAAUGUUAUGGAAAUUUGUGGCGUUACAUCUUUCUUUAUGUCUUCCACAACAUUUUUCAAGAGACAAAAUAAGACCUGAAACGAACAAGUUUCCAACUUCCAACAUUUCAACAGACUUUAGGUUUCCACAAGAAUCAUGAAAAGCAAAUUCUGUUAGCCUUCGAUUUGGUCUACAGUCAUCCUUUCCAGCGGUCAAGCUUAUUGCAACCUCUUCAUUUUCUGCAACAACUUCCCUUGUGCUUUCCACAAAAGAUGCACUUCGAGAGAAGGAAAGAGAUUUUUCCAUGAUAUCCAUACAUGCAGCAGCUCUCUUUGGCAUUUUCCAAGAAUUGGAUGCUUUUUCACUAUUUUUAUGUCUACUUCUCUUAUUGUUUUCCGGUCGUCUCAGACUUCUCGUCUAUAGUAUUAACUUCAAUGACAGAAGGUUGCUUUCCCUUGGCUAUUUUUUCCAUAUCUAGAAAUAAGUAUAAAAUUAAAAACAGGAAUAAAAGCAGAUACUAUUAAACUCCAUGGUUACUUUGGUAUAUGAGGAAAUAAAAUGACCAAAAAGGUACUCUAAUAGAAUAAAUAAGGAAACGAUCGAGUUUGGGAGCGAAAAUUAAUCAUCUAUUUUCUUUUGAUGUGGAUAAAUAAAUGGAAAAGGUAAGCUCACUCAAGUCAAUAAAGACUAAAGCAUGGGGUAACAACAUUCAGAAUCUACAGUAAGGUAUUGACAUUCAGAAUCUAUUGUCACAAAUAAAAAGACAUUUAAACAAUCAGAAAAGUGAGCAACUUAAGGACGACACUUGUUACAUAUGCCAAAUGUGGUAGUCUGGGCAUUCAAAAGUAAUGAAGCAAUCUUUAAAUUAAUGCAUGUCCAGAACACUAUGGAGCAAGCUGCUGAGGAUUCAUCGUGCUUUAUUACAGAAUGUCCUUAAUGGUGUUAUUACUUUCUUCACAUGAACUUUUGAUAACUAUUUUGCCCGAAUUAACACAACUAAAUGUAAAUGACCUACCAAAACUAUUUUACAAGUUGAAGCAAAUUCCAAAAUUAGAUAUAUACAUGGCUAUAUUCUUCGUAUACCACUGACCAAAAAUAUUAGAAAACCAUAGAUGCUAUCAGUAAUUAGAACCCAAAAAAAAAAAAAGAUUCUAGAAAACGGAACAGCUAACUAAUAAGUAUUACAGACCUGUAUUUAUGAAAUUGCUUGAUACAGUUGUUUCCGGAGCCAGUAAACUCCCUUGCUUCUUAGUUUCAUCCAGCAGUGCACGGAGCACAGGCAAGUUCUCAAAUAUCUAAUCAUUUUUCUUGGAUGUUUCAUCUAAACCAAUGAGCUGAUUAUAUAUGAACUCACCCUGUGAGAUUAUAAAUUCCCUCAUAGAUGUCCUGUGAGGAAAAUUCUUGCCAUCACUCAUGGAACGAACAACUCCUGCAAGAAGUUCAUUCAAAGUCAGAUCAGGGUUCCCUCCACAGGUUCUUGACAAUUUCCUAUAGACCUCGACAGAGGCAUGAGCUUUUUCAAUGAAAAGGUAAUAUAGCAUUUUAUAAUUAUUCGCAGGUUUAAUACAAUCAUAAUCUGCUGUGAGUGUUGAGAUCCAAAAUACUGGUAAGCCUUCCUCAUAUCCAGAUAUUGCCCAAGAUUCAAAUCGACCAAAAUCUUUACAUCUAACGCCUUUUUCCUUCUGCCUUCCACCACAUUUUUCAAGAGGCAAUAUAAGACCUGAAACAAACAAGUAACCAACUUCCAACAUUUCAACAGACUUUAGGUUUCCACAAGCAUCAUGAAAGGCAAAGUCUGUUAGCCUUCGAUUCGGUCGAAUGUCAUCCUUCCCAGCAGUCAAGUAUAUAGCAGCCUUCUCAUCUUUCACAACAUCCUCCCAUCUGUUUUCAACAAGAGAUGCCUUUCUGGACAAGCGAAGAGAUUUCUCUUUAAAAUCUGAACAUGCAGCAGCUCUCUUUGGCACCAACUCAGCUUGUUAUUCUCAUGGGGCUGUUUAUAUCUUUGGGGUAUGCAUGAUUUCCAAAACUAUCAACUAUGAAUUAUAUGUUUCAUAAUUUAGUUGUUGCUUUCUCGAUGUUGUAUGCUUAUUUAUUUAUUUAUUGUUCAUUUAUUAGUCUAUGGUUAUUUUUGGUUAGUUCUAGUAUUUUGAUAAAUUCGCCUGGUCGGUUUAUUUCACUAACCAUUAAUGAGAAAAUCCGCCAAGUGAUCCUCAAACUCUUCUACACAAUUAUAAUAAUUUCAGUUUUAUAUAUACAAAAAUGAACAGCUCUCAAACAUUGUUUGAUAAUGACAAAUUUGAUGCUUGUACUUUAAUGUUAUUAUCAUUAAAGUAAUGAGGAACGACAUAUAUUCUCUCUAAACAGUAAAUUCGGAAAUUCAGAACAGAUUCGGUAACAUGUGGCAUUCUACAUUCUUGCAAUGCCAUUUCUUGUUAUGGCAGCAGCAUUUUUUAUCAUCGUUUCUAGAGAGAAUGAAGAGAGAGAGAAAGUAUCAUCUUAUUCCUUGUUAGUUUCUCCGUGUGAGCUCUGUAAAAUUACUUUGAUUCAUAAAUAAAACUCAUUUUGGUCGAUUCUCCCUUGGAUGUAAGUUGUGCCUCAUUGCACAGCUGAACCACGUAAACAGUGCUGGUUUCUGUGUGUGAUUGUUUGUUAAUCUUGCUUGUUUCUUUUUUCCUAAUGGCUGAAAUCUUGCUUUAAGUUCUCAAGUCAUCUAUUGAGUUCAUCGAGGUCAUUCAAUUAUUCAUAUGUAGCUAGUUUGAUCUUGAACAGGGUCUUGGGCAGUGUUUUGAUGGCUUGAUUAGCGGCUAUCUUGACAGUACAAUUGGUAUCAGAACUAGUUCUCCAGAUCGAGAUCCAAGUAUGGCUACAUCAAAGAUUGAUCUCAAGAAGUUCAAUGGAAAGAAUGACUUUAAUAUACAAAACUUGUAUCUAAUGGUUUACAUUUGGAGAUGAUGUAAUAAAGUGCUGUUGAUAAAUUCACCUGGUCGGUUUACUACUUCACUAACCAUUAAUGAGCAAAUCCUCCCAGUGACCCUCAAACUCUUCUACGCAAUUAUAAUAAUUUCAGUUUUAUAUAUACAAAAAUAAACAGCUCUCAAAUAUAUUAUUUGAUAAUGACAAAAACAACAAUUCACUCCAAUAAAUCUCGUAAUAAAUACAUGGUCUAUAUUGCAAGUCUUUUUAGGACUCAUUCAAAAAGAAAACUUAGGGAAUGGCAUUGCAAGAAUAUGGAAUCAGAAUAACAUUGAUACAAAGAGAAAAAAAGGGGAUGGUCGGAUUGAUUUGUUUGCAAAAUUAUUGGUGCAGGGGUCUACUUGUUUUUGUUUCACUUUAUUAAUUAAUUAGCAAAGCAAACAUGUAAUCAUUUGAAAAAGGAUCACUGGUACCCGCUUACGAAAGAUGAAUUUGUAAGACAUUAAUUUAGAUGAAAAUGUGGCGUUAUUAAGUUAUGAGUUCAUUAACUUGAGGUAUUAAUAUUUACUAAUGAUGGUGAUUAAUUUAUUUAACUUGUCAUGGUCUUCAAUUAAGAAUGAAGUGCAAUCAAUUUAUGGAAAAAAUAAUUAUUUUUUUACUUUUUAAGAUUUUAAUUCUUAGGAUUUCAUUUCGCUCUUUUUCGAUUAUUGACGUUGUUGAAGAGGGCAAUAAAAGCCUGCUGAAUUUCAUCAAAGGCUUGCAUCUCAUCUCACAAAUUGGCAAUAUUGAUUGGCAUCUUUAUAAGCGCAGGCAUGAUGAAUUUAUCACUUCCUUCAUAUUGAUGGCCAUAAAUUUCAACUGUACUUUAUUUUUGAGGCACAAUCUAACUUAACAAAAAUAGUAUUCAAAUUGUCACAAUUUUUUUUAAAAAAAUGAAAAUUCAUAUACAGUAGUUAUUUUUUCUUUUUCUUUACUCCAACUUUUAUUAAAAAGUUAAAUACAAAUCCCGAAGAAUCCGCUAUAUAAUCUGAUAGAAUCUAGAAAACGGAGGUACAUGCAUGGCAAUAUCAUUACUUUGUACGACUGGAUUAUUUUUACAAAUUUUUUUCCAAAGAAACUAAUAAAAUUUAUUAUUUAAUAAAAAGUCAAAUACAAAUCCCGAAGAAUCCGCUGUAUAAUCUGACAGAAUUUGGAAAACGAAUGCACAUGCAUGGCAAUAUCAUUACUUUGUACGACUGGAUUAUUUUUACAAAAUUUUAUCCAAUCCCUUGUUUGAUGCCUGUAAAUCAAUAUUUAAAUGUACAGUUAUUUUGUUAUGUUAUUUGAUUUUAACUAUUAAUGUGAAUAUUGGAAUAUAUAUUUAUAUUGAACUAAUAAAAUAAUUGUAUAAAAACAUUUGAAUAAACUUAAUUAUGAAUUAUGAAUUCAUGAUGUAAGGUAGCGUUUGUUUUUUAAUCUAAAAUCUUAGUGAGUCUGAAUUUAGCUAAAAUCUGAAUAUAUUUGAAUUGCAUAUGUCUAAAUGGCAUGUUUGUUUUCUCUUUUUUGAUGUCUGAAUGUAAGUGACAUCUUUUUUUUAUAAAUAAAAAAAGUCUGAAAUAUGAUUAUUUAACAUUUAUGUUCUUGUAAGAAUUAUUUAUACUUAUUAUAAAUUUUAAGAUUUAAAUAUGUGCACGUUACAAUUAAAAUCAAAGAUAUGUAGAAUUGAGUAAUUGAUCUUUAAAUAAAAAUAUUAUUAUAUUACUCCAAAUACAAAAUUGAAUCAAACUUAUUAUACUUUAAAAUUAAAAUUUAAUUUUAUAAUUUACAUCAUCUUUUUUACCAUUUAAGAUUGUAAAAGCCCAUUCGCCCAAACCUAGUCUUAAUUAGCUGUACAUAAGUGUAAAGGCCCAUAUGUUCUUAAGAAGUGUUGAGAGUUUUCUUAGACCCAUAAGUGAAUGGAUAUGUGUAAUGCCCUCAACUUCAAGCCAGAGUUAUAACUAAUGGCAGAUCUGUGUAAUCCUUUUAAAACCGUUCUCUAAUUAUAUUAAAAGACAAAAUAAAUCUAAUUAAAUUCUUAUAUUUCUCUCUCUAUAAGUUUCUUUUUUUAAUGAGAAAAAGACAUCUACACCCCUAAGGUUUGGAAAAAUGAUCAUCAACACCCCUAUGUUUUCAAAGGUGGACACCAAGACUCCCUUUGAUGAUUAUACUCUUUAUCUCUAUUAUUUCAAAAGAAUUAACUCUAAUAUUUUACAAUAAAUAGAAAUAUGAUAUUAAAAUAAAUGUAAUAAUACGUACAUUUUAAAAUAAUUUCAAUUUUUAAACAAUAUUUUAAUAUUUUAUAAUUUAUUAGAUAUAUUUUACUAUAUUAAAGUAAAUUUUAUGAUAAAUAGAAUCAUAAUAUUAAAAUAAAUGUAUUAAAAAUUUAAAUUAUAUUGAAUAUUAUGUAAAAUAAUAAUUUUAACAAUAUUAGUAUGUGAGAAUGUUUUUAAUUGUAGAACGUAUUUAAUGCAAAUAUUUAUUUAAAAUCUCUACAAUAAAAAAGAUAUUAUUAAAAUAAAUAUGAUAAAUUACAUAUUGAAAUAUUAAAUAUUUUAAUAUUUCUAGUCUACUACAUAGAUUAUACUAUUUAUAUGGUAUUUGUAUUUGCUAAAAAUUUUAAAGUCAAAUUUUUAGAAUAAUAGAGAUAAGGGAUAUAAUGGCCAAAAGAAGGUCAUGGUGUCCCUCCUUGAAAACUUAAGGGUGUUGGUGACCAUUUCCCCAAAUCUUGGGGGUUUAGAUGUUCUUUUUCCUUUUCGAAAUCAUUAGCCCCACACAACUACACCAAACAACCAAAAUUUUGUGGGAUCUGUAGUUCAGGCAGAAGCGGCCGGCCGAAUGCUUCCAGCAACUCAGGCAGAUAGAACCUUGGUUGAUUUGUUUUUCUUCAUUUGAAAUUCUACCUAACGGCUAUCCUUUUAAUUGGUUUAAAUUCUUCUUUUUUCUUUGAGUUGUUGAUUUAUAGUGCCUUACAUGCAAAAUUCAAAAUUUCGGAUGAUGAUAAUCUUGUUUUAGAAGAGAUUUCUAGUUAUGCUAGCAGCAUUCUUGAUCGUGGCAUCACAAGCACAUGCUCUGNNNNNNNNNNNNNNNNNNNNNNNNNNNNNNNNNNNNNNNNNNNNNNNNNNNNNNNNNNNNNNNNNNNNNNNNNNNNNNNNNNNNNNNNNNNNNNNNNNNNGUUCAACAUGUAAUCAUUUAAAAAAGGAUCACUGGCCCUAGCUUACAAAAGAUGAAUUUGUAAGACAUAUUAGUUUUGAUGAAAAUGUAGUGUUAUUAAGUUAUGAAUUCAUUAACUUAGAGGUAUUAAUAUUUACUAAUGAUGGUGAUUAAUUUAUUUAACUUGGUGAUUAAUUAUUUAACUUGUCAUAGUCUUCAAUUAACAAUGAAGUGAAAUCAAUUUAUGGAAAAAAAUAAUAAGUUUUUUACUUUUUAAGAUUUUAAUUCUUAGGAUUUCAUUUUGCUCUUUUUCGAUUAUUGACGUUGUCGAAGAGGGUAAUAAAAGCUUGUGGAAUUUCAUUAAAGGCUUGUAUCUCAUCUCACAAAUUGGCAAUAUCGAUUGGCUUCUUUAUAGGUGAAGCCAUCACGAAUUUAUCACUUCUUUCAUAUUGAUACCCAUAAAUUUCAACCUUAUUUUAUCUUUGAUGCACAAUCUAACUUAACAAAAAUAGUAUUCAAAUUGUCACAAAAUGUUUUUUUUUUUAAAAAAAUCAUAUACAAUAGUUAAUUUUUCUUCUUCAAGUUUUGUAUGAAACACUAAUCUUGCUCUGUACUUUGGAGUAUUUUAAUAAUUGAUGUUAAGAUUUGCUAAUGUAAAGAAAGAAAAAGAGAACCAAUUUGGAAAAGUGAAUACUUAUAGUGAAAGAGAACCAAUUUGGAAAAGUGAAUACUUAGUAGUGGGAGUUCUAUCCUUUGGGGUUUAAUUAAUGUUUGAUGUUGUUUCUGUUGGCCUCAGCUAGUUGUUAAGAUUUCAUACCUUUUGUUGGUUUUUCAUAACUGUGACCUAAAGCUUAAUGUAUACUUUGAUAAUUACAUAAUCGGUUUCUUGCUGAUACUUGGCUUUAAUUUAUAAACCUGAGGCUCUUUUGGGAGUUGGGAAGAUUUACGAAAGAGGAGUUUCUGAUUAUCUGGUUUGUUCUCUUUAUGCCUACAGAAGUUGAAUUCACUCUAUGCAUGAAUUUAUGAUUCUUUUAGAAAGAUUUUAUUCUUGAGAAAGAUUUGAUGAAAUUGAAGCAUUAUAGUAAAGCGUACCACUGGUAAGCUUGAUUCACUUUUUUUCAUUUACUACCAAGAGGUGCCAACAGUUCAUGAUGCACAAAAAGAGGUGGGGAAAAAAAGAAAUCUUCUUGCUAGAUACAUAAAUUUAAUAUUUGAAUCAUUUUCAACCAAAGAAAUGUGCUGAAGAGCACCAUUUUCGUUUAUAUCAAAGUUCAAUUGCAUCUUAUAUCAUCUGUUUCCAUCUCCUUUGUGGUAAAUAAAGUCCUUGGUGAUGACAAUAAGAAUCACAGAAGAAGUUAAUUUCUUAUCUGGAGAUUUUCAUCAUAGUAGUUCAUUGAAAGUGAAGGCAGCUGAGUACUCCUUUUUCUGAUGCAGUCUAUCCCUCUUUGGUGUGAUUAUUUGAAAUUUGCGCAAGAAUAUGAUCCAUCUAUACGAGAAUGUGCCUAAUAAAAUAUCACAAAGGUGCCUAAUACAGUGAAAUUAACAUAUUCAGCUCAUGAGAUUGCCAUUAUAUAUAUUGAAAAAGAAAUUAAUAUAAGAAACUGAAAUUAAUUGACACUGGUUCAUGAUGGAUUGUUAGUUGUUAAUUAUGAUGGGAAUAUAAUCUUGGUCUUUUAAUUAUCAUCUAGCUAAUGCAUGUGCACUUUCAUUUGUGUCUAUCACUGAAGAAUAAAGUUGCUUGAUUGAACAUCAUAUGACAGAAACUCAAAACUCAAUUUCAUUGCCCGAGCAUACCAUGCCAUAUGUGGCUCAAAAGUACAAUUAACAUUGAACGUUCAGCUAGCUAGCUCGUACUAAUUAAUUUAUAGGAUUGCUAGUUCUUUAUGAUUCGCUAAAAGAGAAAAUAUUUGACAAUCACGAAAACAAUAACAAUUCACUCCCAUAAACAACAUAAUAGAUACAUGGUCUAUAUUGCAAGUCUUUUUAUGAUUUUAAUUAAAAGAGAAAAUGCAACGGACAUAUUAUAUAUAAUUGAAUGUUCUCCUUGAUAAUUAGUCAAAAUAACGCCAAUAUGAAUAACUAAUACAAUCAUCAUAAUUAUCCGAUUUUCAUUUUAAUUAUGUCCAACCAUGCUAAUUUAAUAAAGAACACUGACUGAAUACAUGAGCAUUUAUAUGUUCAACAAAUUUGGCUGAGUAUGAAAAAUAUAAGAGCUACAUUUAUGCUUUGUGUUAUUAAGUAGGACAUGACCAUAUUAUGUUGCAUUUGUCAGAAAACUGAAAAUUAUCGAAAAGGAUCCUAAAAGAGAUGUGUUGAGUUGUGAGCUUAAAAAUGAGUUUUAGAAGUUCCUGACAUGUCGGUGUGUAUCCUUGAUUGUGCAUGCCCUGUCGGUUUCUGGAUGAAACAGAAGAAUAUGACAUAUGUGUAUUGUCUUUUACUUCCAGCAAGCACGUGAUUUAAGUGAAUCACAUGUUCUUCACGUGAUUUGACAUACUUUAUACGGAUUUAGCAGUUGUUUUGGUCACUUAUUGAAGCACGAGUUAAGCACGUGAUUCAAGGUUGUUAACUGACCGUUAUAAGGUGGAAAAUUCUGGGUUUCUUACAACAAACCCAGAGGGCAUCUGGUGAGUGGAAGCUGUUUCUAGAUUCUUCAUGAUCUGUAUAUAUAACACAAAACUACAUGCAUGUCAAUUGCUUUAUGUUAAUAUUGUUACUAAUGAGGCAGCUAGUAAUCCCUUUGGUGUAAAUAAUUAACUUUCAUAUGCACAAUAUUUAAAAUAAUCACCAAACAACAAUUCACAAGUUACAUUACACAUAAACAAAAUAAAACUAAUCUAGCAAAUUCAAUCAUAAUAAUUUGAUUUUCAUUUAUAUUAAUUAUUUCCAAUCAUGCUAUUUUUUUUUUAAAAAGAACACUCCAGUGUUUAUAUAUCCAACAGGUAAAAUUUCAAAAUAAUAUUUGCUAAAGUCUGAUGAAGAGAAUAUACACGCACACACAUAUAUAUAACCGUACAGCAGAAUGAUAAAUAAAAGAAAAUGAAGUUUCAACAGCUGAAUAAUGCAUUUUAUUGUUUAAUUAAAAAAUUCGAAAACCCAUUGGCCAUAUAUACAUGAUAAAGACUCACUGAAGCCGAGCCAUAUUAAUUUAAAUUAAUUUUCAAUUGAGAUUUAAAUUUUGAAAUUACAUACACAAACACGCCCAAUUUAAAAAAAAAAGUAGUAAUUAUAAAAUAUUUCAGUCAUUUAUUACAACAUAAGGUAUAUGGGUUAACAAGUCCCAAUAUUGUCCUCCAUCCUUUCUGCACUUCUCUGUUAUCAACGGACAACUCCAGAUCUGUAAUUGCAAAAGUGAGGAAGGCAGGCCCUUCUCCGGAAAGUAUUUGAGCUUGGGACAUCCCCAGAGAACCAAUUCAAUGAGGUUUUGAAGAUCAACAAUUGAAGAAGAUAGGCGUUCCAGAUUUGGAAAAUCUUCAAUCCACAGAGAUGUUAGAGAGGCAGGAAGAGGAAGCGCGGUCCCUAAUCUUUUGUCCUCUAGUGGAAAUGACACCAUGUCUUCAUCGCAUCCACUGAUUAAAAGAUAUCGCAGAGAGGAGAAUCUGUGAAAUCCCCGUCCCCGCUCAAUCAUCGACUUCCAAAUCUCCAUAUUACCCCAAAUAUUAAGUGACUGAAGGUUGGUGGGAAGUGUUGGAAAAAUAGCAUAACAUGC
rnacentral:lncRNA from 1 species